rnacentral:lncRNA from 1 species
UAAUUGGACGGAUAAGGAAGGAGAGGGAAUAUGUAGCUGCAGGCAAGUCAAGCGUGGGAUUUUUCAGUUACUCUGACCCUUCCUUCUCUCAAUAACGCUCAGAAAAUCAAUUGUACACCAUUAGUCCUCUCAUUCUUCAGUUCAUCUUAAACCGUAUCUUAUUAUCUUAAACCUUCAGUAAAACUCAGAAAACACAGAGAGGAAGAGAGAGUAAAAUGGGUUUCUGUGAAAUUUGAAAGGAAAGCUUCGGGAGAACUCAAGGAAUGAAAAGGGGGGAUUUUAGCAAGUUUAUCUAGCAGUUAAGGGAAUCUAAGAGGUAAGAAAGGAACUCUGAAAUUCAUAAUUUCUAUUUCGUAAGUAUUGCACUGUUAGAAAUUGUUUUGGUCUGUCUAGAAAGUUAUUAUGGUUGUGAUUUUAGUUUAAAAUCUUGAUUUGAUAGUAGUACGAAAAAUUUUCGAAUUUGAAUGAAUCAAAAUGGACUUAAAACGAAUCCUUGGAAGAUUAAGUAAAACAUGUAAAAAUAUGAAAAUAUGAUAAUCUAGCAUUGUGACAACCUGAAAAAUUAUAAGAUCUUGAACGAUUAAAUUAAAGGUUGUCUAAAACCUAGAGUGAAAAUAGAGAAUUUAUUAAAAUUUUAAAGAAGAACCUAAAUGGUUUACUAUGUGAAAGACAAUUGAGAAAAUAUGGAUUACAAAAUUCAAAAUCCUGGAAUGGAAUUAUAAGUAUUAUGUUACCUUUAACUUUAUAUGAAUUAAUGAAAGAGAUUAUGAAAUGAUAUAUAUGGAAAAGGUUUAAAACGGGAAUACAGUUUAAUACAGUUUCAAUUCAACUUGCUGAAUUAGUGAAUUUAUCUUUGCUGAAUUGGAAUUCGGUUUACUGAAUUAGUAUACACUUUGAAUCCAGGUUGCUGGAUUGGAGGUCAGUUUGAAUCCAGUUUGCUGAAUUGGAAAAACAGUUUACUGAAUUGAAAUUCAGUUUGAAUCUAGGUUGCUGGAUUAGUUAUGUCAGUUUCGUUGUGUUGGGAAACAACAAGUUGUUUGAAUAAUCUAGGAUGUUGGAUUAGGUAUUCGGCUUACUUGAUUAUAUAUAAGAACUUAUGAGAUGAUAGGUUAAGUGUUAGAUCAUAAUGUGUACAAUAAAGAGAAAUAAUAAGGAUAAAGAGGAUGAGUGUAUAUAUAUAUAUAUAUAUAUAUAUAUAUAUAUAUAUAUAUAUAUAUAUAUAAGCAUAUAUAUACAUAUACUUAAAAAUGUUAAUUAAAUUGAUCAUACAAGAUUAAUGGAAAGCUUAAUUAAUCAAGCUUAUAGAAGCUAAGCAUGAAUGGUAGUGUAAGAGAACUUAAAAAUAUUAAAUUGGGAAGAGAUAAGUUAGGUGUUGUGGUGAUAAUUAAAAUAAACAUAACCUAGUGGGAAAGUAUUAUAAAUUUAAUAAAAAGUCCCAGAAAAGGAUUAAAAUUAUGACAAGACAGACUUAUAUUUAUGCCAAGCCUAAUAUAUGAAAAUAUUAAUUAUUUACCAACGAAGUGAAUAAUUGUGACUUAUGUGAGGUAUGUAUGUGAUUAAAUAAAUAUAUAUUGUAAAUCUGCAUAUAUUUAUUUAUAAUUAUUUAGAGAGGAUUGAAAAGAAAACUAUUUAGCCUAAUAUUAUAUAUUAGGAAUGAGAAUUAAAUAAUUUAAUGGUUAUAGUAAUUGAAGAAUGCUAAUAUUUAAAUUAUGUACUAGUAAAUCAAUGAAAUGAAUAAUAAUCAAUAGAUGAUUAGUUGAUAUGAUUAAUAAUAUAAAGAGAAGUAAGUUAAAACUCAAAAUUUGAGUUAGGGAAAUAAUUUUGAAGCACGAACUGCUCGGUUGCGUCCAGAACGUCAAAAAUAGUCAGAAAAGGUGGUAAACACAAAAUGUGUCAAGGUUGACUUUUUGGUCAAAGUCAAUAGUUGACUUUUUAGGGAGAAAAAUCCAAAUUGGAGAUAGAAGUGGAAUUUGAACACGCGGACAAGAUAAUUGAGUCUGUAACGUCAAAAUUAGUAAGAAUAGACUCUAAACACGAAAUGUGUCGGGGUUGACUUUUUGGUCAAGGUCAACAGUUGAAUUUUUUGAAGAAAAGUCAAACUUGAAAUUUGGAGAUGAAUUUAAAGAAAAGGAGGUGCCCAUGACGUUGGGAGUAUUGAAUUUAGUAGGAAUCGACUAUAAACUCAAAAAUUUGAGUUUUCCGGUUCGAAAGUUAAAACGAAAUUAAAUACGCAAAACGAGUAAAUAAAAGCGGGGCACACAACAUAAAAUCUGCUGAGAUUUUUAUCUAUGUGUUGUCCACCUAACCCACCCACUCCCAACCACUCCCAUUAAUGCUCACCAAUUCCUUCUCUCUCUCCUAAAUUAUUUAGUUAAAGGAAAGAAAGAGAAUGAAGUUAAAACAACUGUCUCUCUCUCUCUCUCUCAUUUAUUCACUUCAUGCCCGAACCAAUAGAGAGGAAGAGAGAGAAAGUGGCUGCCAUGAAAGAGAAGAAAAGAGAGAAAGAUGGGAGGAGAAUAAGAAAAAGAAAUUAAGAGGAGAAGAUAUCAAAAGGUAUAAACCUUAAACUUUGUUUAAUUUAUUUUGGUGGAUUAUGAUGAAAUAAAGAUAUUGUAAGACCCCAGCUUUUUAUAAAUAAAAAAAAUCGAAUUUCCUCUAUUUAUUAUUGUAAAUAAUAAGGUGUUAAUUUGAUAUAAUACUUUGGUUAUGGGUGAAAUGCGCAAAUUUUGCAAAAUAAGUAUAAAAUAUUCAUUGUUGUCGGGGAAUAUUCGUUUGGUCGUGGAAUAUUCUUGCUGUCGAGAAAUAUUCGUACGACGGCGCAACCAUUUGUGGGCCCCAUAACGGAAAUCUGUCGGAUGAAGAAAACGACAAGUUUGAGUUUUUAUAAAUAACGGCGUAAUGGUUACCGUCAACACUGUUGGAAUACCCGGUGGUUAAAAUACAGUAAUACGUGUGGUUGCAUAGUAGCACACGGUAUUGCACAGUAUUUUUGAAUUAUUGAUUCUUACGUAAGAAGGCACUACUCAAUAAUUGUUAAAGUAAUUAUUGUUCAAUAUUUUAUUUUAUUGAUUCAAUAAUUGCUACGUUGAUAUUUUAUAUUAUUCUUGUUUCAAUAAUUGUCACUGCACAGUAUCUCCAUCAUCAGAUGAAUAAUUCAUAUUAUUUGAAUAAUAUUGUUAGAUAGCAUUAUUGGCAAUAUCUAAGGAAGUUCUGUCUAGGAAAGGGGUUUGGUCACCUAAUUACGUGCCAAUAAGGAGAAAUCCUUAUCGGAAAGCCCCCUCUUUUUUGGGAACGACCUGGUUGUCAUUAUUGUGAUUCUGUAAUAUUUUUUGUGAAUAAUUAAUUAUUGACUUAUAUGAUAAGGAAAUAUUUAUUUUUAUGUGGAUAUAAAUAAUGGAUAUUUAUUUUAUGUGGAUAUAAAUGAAGGAAUAAAUGCUGAGGUAUUUUAUCAGUAUUUUGUCAGAAUAGAGGUGUUGAAAAUCGUCCGUAUGUGAAUUUCGGUCAUUUUUCGUUUGGAAUUUGGAAAAACUUAAACUUACAAAGUUGUAGAGAAACUAGCACUAAUUUUUAUGCUCAAAGCUUUCUUAAACUCUAAAAAAAUACGCUCAAGAUUAUAGAAGGAGAAUUCUCUAAACUUCAAGUGUGAUUUUCAAUUCUAACUAAGCAUCCUAUUUAUAGAAGAAUAGAAAGGAUACUAUGCUGCACUAUGCAAUAAAAUAUAAUAUAUUCUAUUUAUAAUCAAAUAAAACAAAACUUUAUAAAAAGUAUUCUGUUUUAUAUAAAAAGUUUUUACCAUGCAAACACUAUGCAACACUAUGCAUAAUAAAAUAUAAUAUAUUCUAUUUAUANNNNNNNNNNNNNNNNNNNNNNNNNNNNNNNNNNNNNNNNNNNNNNNNNNNNNNNNNNNNNNNNNNNNNNNNNNNNNNNNNNNNNNNNNNNNNNNNNNNNNNNNNNNNNNACAAUAAUUGAAUCAAAUAACGUGAGAUACUAUGCAGCAAUUACUGUACCAAUAAUUGAACAAAACUGAGUGACUUAUCACGUAAGCAUCAAUAAUCAAUACCGUGUGCUACUAUGCAACCACACGUAUUACUGUACUUUUAACACCGGGUGUUUCAACAGUUAACGGUAAAACUUCCACCGUUCAUAAAGUAUUUUUGUCAUUUUUUCAAUCCGACAAUAAUUCCAUUGUGGGGUCCACCAAUGAUUGUGCCGUUGUACGAAUAUUUCCUGUUAAAACGAAUAUUCCCCGACCAAUCGAAUAUUAUAUAACAACUUACGUACUUUAAAAAAUUUAUAAAUAUUACCCACAACUAUAAUAUUAUAUCAAAUUCAUUCCAUAAUAUUCAAAAAUGAUAUUUAUAGAAAAUUCAUCUUUAUUUAUAAAAGUUGGGGUCUUACAUCUCUCUUGUUCUUGCUAUUUCUCCCGCCUUCUCUCUCUUGUUCUUCCUCUUUCUUUCUCUAAUUAAAAAAUCAUAAUAGGUGAAAUGAAAUGGAUGAUACUUAGGUUUUUGUUUAUAUAAAACCCAGUUUCAAUUUCUUAUAAGUUGGUCAUCCAAUUUAAGUCUUCUCUAGUCUUUCCCCUCGUCUUUAAAAGCUUGCAAAUCACCUCCUAACAUAUUCUUAGCAUAUUCUCGAAAUAUUCUUUAUUCAUUAACAUAUUCCUUAAGAUAUUUUCUUAAGUUUCAAAUAUUAUGUUUUCACCACCAAGGUGUUCCAACUUUUCAUUAUUGUCCAUUAACUUUCUAGUUCACUUCCAUACUUCAUUAAGUUAGCAAAAUUUCGCUUUUGCCUUCUCCUAAUUCAUUAAGCUAGCAAAAAGUCUGUUUUGCCCUUUCGUACAAUUAACUAGGGUUCAAUUUUCGAGUUAUAUCGGUCACCCGAUUUCUUUAUAGUUAGAUUUUCCUAACUCGUUCAACAUACAAAAACCUCAAAACUUCUUUCGUUGAUUUUUAUUACAUCUGCCAUCCUCAAAUAAUAACUACGACGUAAAUUUGAAAUUCUCAAAAAAUUUACUUUCUCUAAAUAUCUCCAUACUCUCAUACAUCAUUACUUAACACCAAACUAGGCCAUUAAUCGACCUAAAUAACAUUAAUAGUAAUAAUAUCAAUAAAAUUUAUUUAUUUAUUAGAUAUUAUCCUCGUAAAAUCUAAUUUCAAGGCUAUCCGAAAUCUCGGGUUAUCACAUGUUCCCCCAUUGCAGGGUUGGUUCGCCUCGGACUUGGUACACAUUUUCGCACCAAAAUAAUUUUGUUUGGCAUAAUUUCUCAAAGAUCGCUUGAAUUUCAUAAACAUUUUUCAGCAAUCGUCUAGUCGAAUCAAAUAGAUUUGACAUACAUCAAUAGUUCAGACAUCAAUCGAAACAUUUUAGCCAACUCACUGGCAUAAUUUUUCAUAGUUUAAAGAAAAUCAAAAAUCAUUUUAUGACGUCAUGAUACCGUACCAUUUUGACAGUACGUUGAGGAUUUCAUCAUUUUAUGACUUUGUCAUACUACAAAAUACCAUAGUGGGCUAACGGUCUUAUGAUCACAUCCAACACCAGGUUCGAUUGCAUUAAUGAAUCCAUCAUUUAUCAUUCUACACCAUGUUGAAUGAUGCAGAUGAUUAUAUAGAAUACAUUUUGAUAAUUUCAAAUCAUUUUCAUCUAGCCAAAAUAAUUAGCAUAUACAUAUGAAUAAUAGGACUUUUAACACUUAUUGGUUUAAUACUCUAAUCCAAUAUUUUUCAAAAACAUAACUAUCAGCAUGAUGUCAAUAAAUUUCGAAAUCUAGAAUAACUAGAGGAUUUGAAAUAUCCAUUUUACCUUCAACAACUUUGACUUUUAUCCAUCGGCCCAUUAUCUAAUAAUUCUAUCUAUUUCUAGCAGCAUUAAUGCUCACUAUACUAAAAAUUCUUACAUCUCAACUUACAACCUUCAUAUACCCCAGUAUAAUUCAUCAAACUUACCACACGUUAUGAGUUUAUGAUUGCUACAAUAAUAUAAGUUUAGGAACUUGUCCUAGCAAUAUGCAGUCCAAGAACAAAUUAGGGACUCUGUCCAUACACUUAGGGGCUCAAAAACAUAUCAUAUGAUCAUGAGUCACAAACCAUAAACAUGAGAUUCAAGAACUCGCACGUAAUCUUAAUAUUCUCUAACUAUCAGAUAUAAAUAUAUAUGAGAAAAGAAUCACAUUCUCACCAUAAAUAUACUGAUAGCGGAAUACUAAGAUUUCAAUGAUUAUCAAUGUAAUAGACUAAGUGGUCGUUAAACCAACCACAAAAUCCAUUCCCAUAUAAAGAUUUGCAUGAUUCCUCAAUUGAAAUUCCCCAAAAAACAAGUUUUUUCUUUCCUUUAUGCGAAUUUUCUUUAAUUUGUCUCUCAUCAUCUACAACUCUUUCUGAGUUUUCUCGUUCUAUCUCAUAGUACAUUCUCUUAAUAGCGUCAGGUUAUAACUGUUCAAUCAUUUAACAUAUUAUCUGUCAUUUCACAAUUCCAUCUGAUCACGUCGUGAUCUUAUUUUACAAUCGUUUUGCAUUACAAUCUUCCUUAGUCUACGAUCUUCUCACUUUUCCAUUCAAUCAUGUUAUAUUAUGAUUUCAUUUAAGCUUCUUAACUUAUAUUUAUCAUUAUAUCUUUGAAUUUCUAUAAUUCAAUUCAGGUGUUCCCUGAUCCUCUUCAUUUUACUUUAUUAUAGCUCUUCCAGAUUCUUCUUUGAAUCUUCUUAUAUAUAUCUUAAUCAUUUUCUUUAUAAAUCUUCUAAAUUUAUUUCUUAUUGUUCAAAGUAUGUCCGAGUUUAUUCUUUAUCAGAUGACUUAAACUCUAUCUCAGUUUAUUUUUGUACUAUCUCCGUCCAUUUCACUCUGGUUAUAUCCUAAGGUACCUCUUCUUAAGGUUUAUAAUAUACAACUCUGAUACCAACUGUAACGCCCCUAAAAUCAUGAUAAAUUUCAUUCAUGAUCUUGUGCGUUAAAAUACAAUCACGAUCUAACAUCUUUACAUUAUUAAUCGAUGUUAUAAUCAAUAAAAAAAAUGCGAAUAAAUUUAAUUUUAUUACUUUCUUUUAUAUCCUAAAUUUUUAUCACAAUUUAACUUUAUUUUUGUUGUACAUAAUAGUCUUUGUCCAUAUAGAUAUUAAAACUUAGUUAUUGCAAUGUUUACUCAAUUGCAGAAUUCGCAACCUUUAACACAUGUACAAAUAUUCAGAGUCGUAUGUAUUCCAUAAUAUGAUUUGUGAUAUCCCGAAUAUAUAUUAGUAAUAUUUCUUUUAAGGGAAAUAUUAAAAGAUUAAAUAAAGUCUAGAGAUUUAACCUAAUUAUUAAUAAAAAAAAAUGUGAAAAGAGUGGAUUAAUUUUUUUAUUUUAUCUAUGUGCUAUAAAGAGCCCAUAGGAUAUAAAAUUAUUGGGAAUAGAGACUUUUAAGAUAAAAGACUCUAAUUAAGAAUGUAUGAGACAUUAUAAAUAUUACUUAUUCAUAAUGAAAAUAAAGUAAUAUGUGGAGUUAAAUAAAUUUUGUGAGAUGUAGUAAGUAAAUGUAUUAUUAAAUGUAUACAUUUAUUAUUCAAAAUGAAAAGAGAAGCCAAUAAGGCCUAAUUGGGAAAUAUUCUUGACAUAAACCUACCUAUGAGAUUAAUAAAAUAAUUAUAUUAUGAUAUAAUUAAUUUCAUUCAAAAGAGUGUAUGUAGUAACAAAUACGGAAGAUGGUUUGCACUACCAUAAGUUAUUUAACUACAUGAAACCAUCAUUUUUAACGAUGUAUAUGCUAAUUAUUUUGCUAGCUUAAAUAAAUGUGAUGCAUAAAUAUUUAUAUGUAUUAGUGACCACAUUUAACUAUUGGGCCAUAUUAAAUUGGUAUUUAGUAUUCUUGCAAGCUGCUACAUUAAUCUUAGGGGCAAAGGUCUAAAAAUACCCGACCUUGAUGUUUACCCCGAUGUCCCACUUACACCCUGAACCUUUUUUUUUCAAAAGUACACUUGACGUUGUAAAACGUAACUCAAUUAUGCCCCUCCCGUUAAAAAAAUUUCAGCUAGACAAACGGGCGUUGGUGGCGACCGACACGUGGCAAACGGGCGUUAUUUUCUCUUUCUUCUCCAACUUUUCUCUCUUUCUUUCUUUCUCNNNNNNNNNNNNNNNNNNNNNNNNNNNNNNNNNNNNNNNNNNNNNNNNNNNNNNNNNNNNNNNNNNNNNNNNNNNNNNNNNNNNNNNNNNNNNNNNNNNNCGGACGUCAGGGACAACCGACACAUGGAAAAAAUAAAAUGUAAUAAUCUUUUUUUUAUUAUUUUCUCUUUCUUCUCUAACGUUUCUCUCUCUCUCUUUCUUUCUCCCCCCUCCCUUUUUAUUUUCUCUCUCUAUUUUCUUCUUCUUCUGUUACAAAAAUAACAAAACUAAAAUGCAUUAAUCAUAACAAUCAGCACAUACCCAUUACAGAAACAACUCAGCAACAGCUCAUAGAAGUCGAGAAAAUCCCAAAAAAUUGGAUUUUUAAGGAAAAACAAAACGUGAUUCACAAUCAAAUGAAACCACAAGAUAAUCUUUUGCAAACAUUAUAGUUAAAGAAUUUAUACACACUAAUAAUCACAUAAUCCUCAUAAAGCAAAAUUGCUAUUACAUUAAACUAGUUGCAUUUACAGAUUCCAAAAGCAAGCAAUAGAUUACCCAGAAAAAGAAGGAAGAAGUGGAAUACAACAUGGUUGUUGAAAAAACAAGAAAUUUCUCGCAGAGAAAGGGAGAAGGAAAAAGGGCAUUGAUUAUUCACGUAACAAAAAAAGAAAUAGAAUUCAAUUGCGUAUUCCCCAAGAUUCCUUUUCCGUUUCCUACAUUUUUCGCAUCAACCAAAUCGACAGUAAAGAAGCAACUAAAUAAACAAAUAAAAGAAAAUUAAUCCCUUUUGAUUACCUGAUUAGACAAUGCAGAUGUGGAAGCAAUCUUUCAUGACUAUUCAGAAGAGCCGAAAGAUGGAAUUUCAGCCCCAAUACCCACUCGAAGAAAGUGAAAGUAAUUUUGGUUUAAGCCUAACUUUUUUUCCUCUCCGUUUUUUUCUGGGUUUUUUCCAGAUCCGAUCAAAAAAAGAUGGAGUUUUGAUAUUUGAGUUAUAAUUCCUUUUGAUUGAUUUGUCUGUAGGGAAUUCGUCGAUUAAUGGGUGGAAAAAGAGGGAACAGAGGAAGAAGAAAGGAGAAAGAGAAAAAAGGUAGAAGAAAUAGAGAGAGAAAAGUUGGAGAAGAAAGAAAAAAUAAUAAAAAAAGAUUAUUAAAUUUUAUUUUUGCCACGUGUCAGUCGCCACUAAUGCUCAUUUGUCCAGCUAAAAUUUUUUUAACGGGAGGGGCAUUGUUGAGCUAUGUUUUACAACGUUAAGUGUACUUUUGGGAAAAAAAAGUUUAGGGUGUAAAUGGGACAUCGGGGUAAACAUCAAGGGUAUUUUUGGACCUUUUCCUUUAAUCUUAGUGUUAAUAAUUUUCUUGCUAUACCAGAAGAGCGUAAUAAGUCCAAGGAGUUAAUUAGUCCUAACUUGGUAUCUAACCCAAUUCGAUAGCCUCAUUGAUGGAACUGUUUAGUAGUUUGUUAGCUUGCAAGCCUUAAAAUUUCUUAAGUGCUAUAAGUUAUUUCAUUGAGCCUAAAACAAAACCAUUAUCAAUCCUUUUUCUUUGAGCAGUCCGGUAAUCCACAUGGGAAGAAUGAAGAAUUAAGUCUUGGUAAAUAACCAAGUUAACAAUUAGUUCAUUUAGCAAAUUGGUUAUCAAUUAAGUUGGGAAGCUAGCAAGGAUAGCUGGCAGUAGAGUGGCUGGGAUAAGGCUAAAAAUUAGGGGCCAAGUAGACUGUAGAGUAGUAGGAGACUGCUAAGCCUUGUAGGGGUUGUGUAGUGGUAAUGAUGAAGGCUAAUGUAGGGGACGGAUAGGAGCUAAAGAGAGCAGCCAGGUAGAGAUAAUGAUGGAGAGCAGCAAUAUGCCAAGUAGGUUGAUUGAGAGAGAGAGAAAGCUCAGCCAUAUAUGACCAUACAAUGCACCUGAAAUCAGAUAACUUCUUUACUUAUCCAAGUUCCAAAAGCAAUAUCAAUACCAGUCCAUUAGAUUGAGAGAGUAGCAAAGCUACGACUGGAAGGGAAGGAAGGAUUGAGCAUCAAAGCUACUUUAAUAUCUAGAAGUUAGCAAGUUAAGCAAUCUUAGAGUCUUUCCAUUCCUUUUCCAUUUCAUAUUUGAUAGUAGAAUGGGUUUUUAGUGGUUAUAGUAUUAAAUAAGACUAUGGUGGUUGUUAUGAUAAUAUUAGAGCUUUGUGUGGUUGUUGAGGCAUUAUACGGAGACCCUUAAUAAAUCAAAAGCCAAAAGACUGGGGAAAAUAGAAAGGAAAUUUGUGGAUACAUGUAAAUAAAAUCAUGUUCACCAACUGUUUGAUUAAAUGUCGAAGUAGGGGUUGUUAUAGUUUAAAAAUAUGCUAGCUAUGAAUUAGAGUCCAAAUCAUGUUUACACGCUCAUAUAUUGAUAUGAAUGCCUCAAACAUCAUAUGCUUCUUUAUUAUUCCAUUCUUUAUUAUUCUGUCGGAAUCUCCCGUCUGUGCGUUUACGCCGGACCUGGUUCCAUUAUUUGUUAUUAUAUUGGAAUAACCUGUUUAUGCGAAGUACUGCAUACAUGGUGAAAUUCUUCUGUUAUUCCAUUCUUUAUUAUUCUGUUGAAACAUCCUGUCUAUGCUUUACGCAUGACCUGGUUCCAUUAUUUAUUAUUCUGUUGGAAUAACCUGUCUGUGCGGUCUAUCGCAUGCCUGGUGAAUUCUUCUGUUAUUUCAUUAUUUAUUAUUCUGUUGGAAUAUCCUGUCUGUGCGUUUACGCAUGACCUGGUUCCAUUCUUUAUUAUUCUGUUGAAAUAACUUGUCUAUGUGGAUUACCGCAUGCAUUAUAAAUGAUCCUUCGUAUUCAUACGAAUAGUAUUUUCAUUAAAAAGGGGUUUCUGUCAGGGGCAGUUUCGUAAUUUUUCUGACCCUCAAAAAUUCUGGAAAAAUUUGAAAUGAUAAUUUGAUGAGUUUUCUAGAUUGUGUCCAAAAAUGACGAUUUUUGGGAUGUAUAGAUUAAGAGUUAUGGAUUUUAUGGGAAAAGACUAUUUUAAAAGUAAACCCUUAUAAAGCCUUGUGGUUAACUUCAAAAUUGGUAAAAUUUUUAUUGGGAGUACAUGUAUAUAACAGAAGUAUAACCCUGUAAAUUUCGGAAUUUUUAGACAAACGUACAAUUUAUGAUAAAUGUCUAAAUAUUCGGCAGUUUUAGCCAUAUGAAAAAUAGUAAAUGAAUUUUAAAAAUUCUGAGAAAAAUAUAUGUUCAAUAUGGGACUAUAUUCUGCUAAAUCCCAGAAAAGAAAUAUUUUUGGGACUGAUUUGGUAUUUUUCAUGAAAAUGAACUAGUUAUGAGUAAAUGAAUUAAAUAUGUUAUGUGAAGUAAUAAAAUUGGAAAAUAGGAUUUUAUGGCUUGAGAAUCCUAUAUAGGGUAUAUGCAGAUUUUUGAUGAGGGAUUUGAUCAUUGAUGAUGAAAUCUUAUGAGUAUGGCAUUUUUGAAUGAUUAAAUGCAUUAUUUGAUAAAGUGUAAACAAUUGAAAUAAAUUGUUUAUAAGUUUAAGAAAUGAUUAAAAUAUUGUUAUAAUAUUAAUGAUAUUAGAUUAUGAGAUUAUUAAGUGAUUGAUAACAUUUGGUUAUUAUUGAACGCUGGAUAAAUUGUAUUAUAAAUGUUUAAUAUUUAUCAUUUAUCUCAUUUGAUUAAUUCUUAUAUCAUUGUCAUCAUCCUCAUGCUUAUAUUAUAUUGAAAGUUAUCUUUGGUCGUAGUGCAUAGAUGGACUUGGUAUGAUUAUGACCAGGGAUUAUUCGGUAUAAUCAUGACCGUAAUGUUACAAAUGAUGUGGAAAAAGUCCUCAUUGGCCCGUAGUGCAUUGAUGAACAGUUUUUGGUAUGAUUAUGGUUAUGGAUUCUCUUCGGCCAAGGGUGCAAAGAUGAAUUGUUUUAUGGCAUGAUCUUGACCGUUGAUGAAAAUACGAUUAUCUUUUGCCGUAGUGCAUGGAUAAUUCGUGGUCGUGAUAUUAACGAAUAUCCUUAGCCGUAGUGCAUGGAUAAUUCAGUAAUAUGGAUUGAUUAUCGAGCUGAGUCUCAGCGAUGAAAUAUAAAUUCAUAGAUGUGAUAUUAACGAAUAUCCUUGGCCGUAGUGUAGGGGUGAUUCGAUGAUGGGGAUUAUUUAUUAAGCUGAGUCUCAGCGAUAAAAUAUUUAUUAUACACUUUUAAUUCGUAGAAGAUAGUAGAUAUCAUGCUCUACUUGACUCUUCUAAAAUACAGUUGUAUGUCUUUGGCAUGUAGUGCAAAAAUGAAUUGUUAAUUAAAAUCUUUGGCCGUAGUGCAAAGAUGAAUUUAUUAGUAUGAUUAUGAGCAGGAAUUCUGAUUUGGUAUAACCAUGAUUUUUGAUGUUUCAGGUGAAGAUAGGUGAUGAAAAUUAUCUUCGUCCUGGUUGCGAAGAGGAAUUUAGAACCACAAUUAUGAUUAUGAGUUAUUCAUAUGAUUGUGGACAGGAACUGUUGAUUUAUUUUACAUGGAUAAAACAUUAUUGGUGGACUUUUAACAUAGAGAAGAUAAUAGACCUUAUGGUCUAUUUGACUCUUCUAAUGGAUUGCUCGUUCCGCUGCAACUAUGGUUGAAAAGUUUUAUCAUCUACCAUAUGUUCUAAAUCUCUGAUUUAUUAUUGAUGAAAGCUAUUGAUAAUUUAAUUAUCUUUAGUCAUGAUAUUCUUUACUGGGCUAGUUGUGCUCACCCUUUCUGCUUCACAAUUCCUUUCAGGUAAUAAGAGUGUUGCCGUAAGAGUGUUGCCGGGUCGAGCGGGGAUAACAGGGGAAUAGAACAGUGGUCUCUAGCUGUGGAGGUUCUCCCUAAACAGUAUAGAAAAGUGUGUUGUAUUCUAUACAUCAUUUAGUAGUUAUAUUUGGUGAAUCAAAUAGGGUGAGGCGAACCCAACUUUGGAAGGGUGUUUUGCCACUAUCAUACAAGAUGUCUAAUGACAUACAACCUCGUGUUAUCAUAAGACAGGGUUGUGCACAUCCACUUGCUGAGUAUAUCUACGAGCACUACCUAUAUGAUCUUGGAGUUUAUUUGAAAUAUAAUUUUCACUUGGAGACAGUGGAGAUAGUUAUAUGUCAAGAGAAGACUCACCAUUGGAAAGAAGAUGAUAGUAAUCUUCUCGUUUUUCUUUGGGGUCUAUUGGGUCAACCAAGGAUAAUUCUGUGGACAUAUGAUAUCUAUCAUAACCUAGACGCAUGGCCUCCCAUGUACGAAGGUUUCCUUGAGCACUUCCCAAAGAUUUUAAUUUCUAAAACAGUUUUUGACUAUACUUUUAUGUAAAGUACCAUUGUAAGGUUGUGGUCGAGGCACCAUGAGAGUUACAUACAUUUGUAUUAAAACUCACAGUUAACUGUGGUCGUAUUCUAUACGACAGUUCAACAGUUGUAUAAAUGAAGUUGUAUAAAUGAAGUUGUAUUUAAAUUUUGUACCAUGUAUCUGGCGACUCAGAAUGGGUGAUGUAUACCUAAUUUUGGGGGCGUCAUAACCUAUAUACUAUGAUAAUUUUAUUUUAAAUAGUAGAGUACCAUACUCCACGAUCGUAGAGUGCAACUCCACGAUCAUAGAUAUCAACUUAAGAGUCAUCUGCGGACCCCCACUUUGAGUCCCAAAUUGGAAUACUGUAAAUUGAUGUUCCCAGACCAAUGAAAGAAGAAUUAAAAGCCUAUUAGGGACUAUUUUGAACAAAAGAUAAAAUCUCCGCAUUUAGAUAUAUUAAACCAUGAACAUAUAGUAUACAGAAAGUACUUAUUAUGAUAAAACUUAUACUUGAAAGCUUGAAGGCUGUUAUGGUAGUUUAGUACUAACUCAUGUUAAUAAUGCCUAAAAAUGAGUUGUUUUGGUAUUGGUACAUGAGAAAAGUUUCAAGCUUGUUAAAGUUUGUGAUGAUGAGUUUUAAGGAUCAUUUAAAGCUUAUAUGAAUGCUUAGAUAACCCUUGAAUCAUAGCUUGGAGACUGUUUGUGAGUAAUAGCUAAAAAUGUGCUUAAACUCUAGAUUAGAGGAAUGUUUUUGGUCAAGGUCAGUACCUGAACUUUUGAGUCAGUAAGGAGACUAUAAUAUGUCCAUAAUAAAAAUUUAAAAGUUGUUCCUUCACUUAGUUGAGGUCCAUAUUGAGUACUACUCAGUUUUUAUGUUUAAGGGCCAUGAAAAGUAAGCUUUAAAGUGUCAUCUAACACUUAAAAGAAGAGAGGCCAAACCUGGACCUUGUAGGUAAGUUUCAAUAGCUAUAAUAUGGCAUAAGUAAGCUACAUAAGUUAAAGAAACCAAGUCUAAACCGUUUUGAAUAUUAGACUUGUUAAAAAUCAUGUUUUAUAGGCCAAAAGUGGUCUGUUUUGGGUAAAUUUUAGUACCUAAAUUUGUAAGACUAUAAUGAACUCAUAUAAAGUUGCUAAUGCAUGCUGGUGAUGAUUUUUGAUCAUUUCCAUGACCAAAGUUAGUAAGAAAACCAAGUUAGGAUCUAUUUUUCAAGCUUAAAAUGAGUUUUGAUAGGUCAAAAUUGGCAAGAUGACUAAACAAAGUGAAAUGAUGAUAAAAGUAACCAUAGGCAACUAAAAUACAUAUGUCUAGACUAUUAAAGUAGCCAAAAAUGAAAGAAAUUUAAGAAGUGUCGAAAUUAGUUUUGGGAAAAAAGUGUUAAACUGUCCAGUUUGAGCCUCAGUUAAAGUAGGACUAACUGAUAUGAAUGAGGACCAUAAACCUUAUUAAAAUAUCUUGGUAUGUGGUCUAAAAGUAGGGCUAGAUGAUAGAGAUAAAAUCUUAACCAAGAAAUUCCAACAAAUCAUCAAAGUAGACAAUAAACUCAAUUCUGCAACAAUUGGGUAGUAAAGUGACUCGGUAGAUGGUAGAGUGAAAAACUCAGCAGAUGGUAGAGUGGAAAACUCAGCAGAUGGUAGAGUGACUCAGCAAAUGGUAGAGUGGCUCUGCAGAUAGUAGAGUGGUUCAGUAGAUAGUAGAGUGGCUCUACAGAUAGUAGAGUGGCUCAGAAGAUGGUAGAGUGGAAAACUCAGCAAAUGGUAGAGUGGAAAACUCAACAGAUAGUAGAGUGGAAAACUCAGCAAAUAUUAGAGUGAGAACUCUGAAAAUUGUAGAGUGGUCUCUAAAAAUCGUAAAGUGAACUCUGAAAAUAGUAAAAUGACUCUCAAAAUCGUAGAGAGAACUCUAAAAUUCGUAGAGUGAACUCUGAAAAUCGUAGAAUGACUCUCAAAAUCGUAGAGUGAAAAUUGUAGAGUGCAUAUAAUAGAGUAAAAAUGGGUAAACACCCUAGUUUGUGCCCAAUUUUGGUUAACUUCUAUAACUAAAUUUAAGAAACCAAACUCAAGGCAAAAUACUAUGAUAUAUGAUCUAAAUGCUUACACAAAUAAAAGAUCAAAUAUGUUAACCAUAAAGUCCAAAAACAUCAUCAAAGUGGCCUAAAAAUUCACUUUUGCUGCAGUUGAUAGUAGAGUGGAAAUGUAAAACACCCAUUUUGAGGCACUACCUUAAGAAGCCUUAAGAGGUUGUUUCAGUUGACUAACUAUGGAAUAAAAUACUAUAAUGUAUGGCUUAAAAGCUUGUUCAAACUUAGAAGGCAAAAGCUCAUUACAAAGAUUCAUAAAAAUCCCCAAAGUACCCUAGAAAAUCAUAUUUUCUAUUUUUGAAUAAUGAUGGAAUAAUGGGAUUUGAUUCCUGGAAAUGUCACAGCAUAACGUAAGAUCAUAUUUGAAGUGUAUAAUGAUCAAUGAUUUUUAUCAUGUUAUGAUUGGACCAAAAUGAGUAUAUUUGAGAAUGUAUAAGAACUAAGUAUGUAAUGUAUACUAUGUGUGUAUGAUCACAAAGUGAUGAACAAAGGCUAUAUGUCUAAUCUAAGUCUAAGGAACUUAGAUGAGUAAGGUUUAACCAAGUAAGGUAUGUUGUAAUGGUUUGAUACACACACAGUAAAUUACAAGUGCGAUAAACUAGCACAUGUGGUGAUGAAAGGAAAAUAAAACCGAGUUAUAUAAAUAACAAAGUUUAAUAUAAAAAAGGUAUAAGGACAAUAUAAGUAAAAGUAGGUUAUUAAAGUAAUGUUAACCAUGAGAUCAAGUAUUGACGAUGUUUAUUAUCAAUCUCACAUACCUUGUAGGUCAUGCAAAGGAACACGACAGGUUAACGGUAAAACACCUGUACAGACAAGUUUUUCAGAACUUGUUUUUAUAUGUGAACUUGUUAAUUGUUAUGUGCACAUACUUCCUGUAUUAUAUGUACUUCUUGUGAAUAAUUUGAGAUGUACGCUAUGUGUUAUACUAUGAUAUAAAUCUAUUGAAUCAAGUUAAUGAUUGAUGUGGAUUGAGUUAUGAAAACUCACUAUAUUCGUGAUAUGAGAUAUAUGAUAAGCAUGAGGCACGUAUAACUGUUGAGUAUGAAAAUUAUGAUGCCUGAAUAAAUGCAAAGUAUGAGAAACACGAAUUAUGUAUAAACUGCGGAGCAUUAACAAUUUAAAGUGUGUUUAAAAUGUGAACUUUGUAUUAUGUGAUAAUUGUUAAACUUAUUGGGCAACGUAGUUGCUCACCCUUGCUAUAAAUAAUUGUUUACAGCUAAACCAGAACGGAUCGAAGGAUUUAUGAUAGACACGUGAAAAAAGGAAGAAAUAUUGAUUGAAGUUAUUUGUUUAGUUCUAGCUAUGCUAGAGAACAUUCAUAUGACAUAUUGUAAUUGUAUAAUCAAAGAAGAUUGUAUAGAAGAAUAGUUAAGUCUAGUUGUGAGUUCAUGGAUACUUAAAAUCCAAUAUAUUUAAGUGAAACAUAUUAUUUAUAACUUGAACUGUAUAAUAUAAAUCAAUAUAAUUUAAAAGUGUAAAUACCAGGUUGUAAAGGUUGUAGAUUCUGGAAAUAGAAAGAAUUAAUGUAUUAAUUGGUAUCAAAGCGAGGUUGUAUUCAUUAUUUUAUGAAUAAAGGUUAUAAAUAUUCAUAUGAAGGUUGUAUAGUAAUGCACCAGGUCCGAGGUAACAGGUACUCAAAUUUGGGGGUGUUACAUGAUCCAUAUUAAAAUGCUAUUUGUGAACAUAGAGUUCAACUUCUGACUUUAAUCAUUACCUGUAUAUUCACAACGUAAUCCAACAUCUACAUACUCACUAUACACCACAUUUUAUACACUAUUGUCAUCACAUAAAUCUACUUUACAAAAAAUGGUAAAGUUAUAUUUCAUUUUCACACGAAUACUUUUAGUCAACAUCCAUCUAUUGGACGACUCAAAGUUUAUACAAUUCAAUAAAACUAUGUUACAACAUGUAGCAUCGACUUGGUAUAAACAAAACUUGAUAAAAUAAUACGCCUUUACUAAGCAUGUCGUAUUUGGAACCUUCGCUGCUAUAAUUUCUGAUAAAUCAACUUUCAUCUGCAAAUUUUAUAUUUUACAAGGUUAAGCACAACGACCAAGCAAGUCUAACAGUUUUCAUGCAUCAUGUUUCAUAUAUACUAUGCAUUUCAAUCAUGCAUCACGUAGCUCAUGUUAUGCAUUUUAUACAUGCUUCAUAAAUUUUAUACAAUGCAUUUACAUAUGCUUCACACAUCUCAUAAUAUGCAUCUUCAUAUGCGUACUUUCAAUUUCAUCAUAUUAUAUUUAGAUCGUACUUCAUAUGUUACCAAACGUAACAUUUCUCACAUAUCUCCAUUCACAUAUCACAAACAAAUUGAGUUCCAUAACUCAAUUAACUUUAGUCAUAAUUUGACUUUAGCAAUUCGUAUAGCAUUGACAUUAAAAAACAUGAAUUUUAACAUAUUCACAAGGAUUUCAUCAUAAUGCGAUAACAAUUGCACAUAACUAAAAUCGAGUUCACAUAAUACAAGUAAACUGAAAAACUUGUCUUUAUUGCAAAUUGUUACCAGGUCUACUUGAUAUCGUGUACUCAAAGCAAUGUUAUCUCUGUUAAGAAUAUACAUGAGAAUGUUAUUCCUUAUUUAUAUAAUUUGAUGAUGAAGAUGAUGAAGUUAAUGAAUAAUAUGCAAAUGUGCCUGCAUUGAUAAAAGCUGUAAAGUCCUUAAUAGAUGAUAGACAAUACAGACAAUGACUUAGAUUGAAAUGAUCAAAUAUGUUAGGUUGAUCUAAUAUGAAUGAAUAUUUUUAUAAAAGCCCUUCAAAAUAUCGUGAUGUACAAGGACUAUGAAUAGAAAGAUCAAAAUUUUUAGGUUGAUCUUAUAAAGUGUAAUAGAUAAGCAUGUUUGAUCAAAGAGCACUGAAUCGGUCACUAUAGUCUGCCAAAUGAAGAAUCGCAGGCUUCGCUCAAAAUCAUGGAGUCUACAAGUCAUCACCAAUGAAAAUCGUAGUCAGUCAAGUGCUCAUAAUACUAAAGUAGAAUCGUAGAGUACUCUACGAUUCUCAACAGAUGAACAAUCUUGAAGUGCAUACAUAGAUCUCAUCCUCUGAUAAGUGUAAUCAUGUUUUAGAAUGCAAUCUACUUGAAGAAUAUUAGAAAGCAUUCUUUGAAUGUCCUAAAAGUAAACAGAAGAUCAAAGCACCAACUCUACAGCAAGGCUAAUAGAGAAGUGAAAAGUUAUUCAGAAAGAGUCUCAUUAGAAGACAACGAUCGUAGUGCUUACCAAACAGCAAAAGGGUCUGUUAAAGAAACUACAAAGAUAAUGGUAAACCUUCCACAGAGUAAGCAUAAGACAAACUAGGAGGAUGUCAAUGCUUAGCCUCACCAUGGAGUAUGAUCAAGAGAUCACAAGGAUGAAGGUUAAGGAAGCUGAGCAUGACUAAUCAAAAGGGAUAUGCAAACCAAAGUUUCAAAGAAGUCAAUCAACUUGUUAGUUCUUGAAGCAAGGCAAGACAAGCAUGAUUGUAGAACAGAAUACAAAAGCAAAGUACAAGAUAGUACAAUUUUGAGCACUCUCGAAAUUAUAAGAGAUGUUAAGGUCAAAUCAUCCUACGAUUUCCACAGAAAAGCACGACCAAGUAAUCGUAGAGUUCAUAAAGGUCAACAUCAGCAUCGUAGAGGGCGUUUGUCUGAUGAGUGAGAAUGUCUAAACAAAGAAGACUGAUAUUCGAACUUUGUUAAUUGAGGAUCCCGAUAUACUCUCCAAAAAUCCUUGAUGUAAAUCAAGGAAAUAAAACAAAAGGGUGACUACCUACUAAUCUGCUGAAGGUGACAUUUCAGAAGUGUUAGGUGAUAAAGCAGACUGUUGUGUCAGGCAAGUCAAAAAGGAGUUAUCAUAUCAACUCAGUAUGUCUACAUAAAAGAUUUCAAAAUAGCUAAAACAUUAAAUGCUCCAAAUAAAGCUCUUCUACGGAAGACUCCCAACGAUUAUGUUCCAACGGGAAGAUGAUAGAUGAAUCUAAAAAUAGUCAAAGCUUCAAAGAACUUUAUAGAGAAAAUGUCUCAGUGAGAAUGAGACCACCACAGAAGAGUGAAUCAUAACUAAUGAGAGUCUUACAAUGAAAAAGCCUCACUCAAUACAAAGGAGUAUGACAACGAAGUGGCAUCUAUACUGAGAGCCUUCCGCCAAGAAGACAACAACUAGAGUGGCAGAUCAGAAAAUAGAAUACUUGAGUCACUCCACGUUUCACCAUGAACACACUGAGCUAAAGAAAAGAAGAUAAAGAGCCGAAUAUAUGCACAAGACAACCAGUGUUCAAAGACGGCUAAGUACCCAAAGAAGUCAAGCUGAUAUGCAAAGACUUAGCAGUACCUCAACGGUAACAAUGUGUAAUGCUGAAUAUCAGAUGAAGACAAACAUCAACAACAAAGAGCAACAACACCAAGGGAAGAAUCAGACUUCUAAGUACCAACAAGAUGUCAAGCUGAAUGUACAUCUUAGCAGUCUAUUAGAUGUGAUCAAGUACCAAUGCUGAAUGCCUAAUGAUCAAAAGAAGUCAUUAAGUACCAGAAGAUGAAUUGAACAAGUUAAAUGUCAUCUUAGCAUCUCAACAACAACAAACAACAAACAACCACCCAAGCAACCAGGGCCUGCAGGGUCCUUGCCUUAGUGACUAAACCAAAGUCGAGUCUGUUAAGCUUGCUGAGUACCGGAUGGUACAAGAGAUUCUAAGUCUGUCGAGCUUAGUCUACAGUUUCCAAGGCUGCUGGUCUUGAAGAGUUCUUAGUGAACUAGUGUUCCAAGGCUGUUGGUCUUGAAGGAUUCGAAGUUAAUCAAAUUCUUAGUGGAAUACCUGCUUGUUGAAGCAGAAGAGUGGAUUAGGAGCAUUCAGUCUCUGAACCACUUAAAACCUCUGGUGUAAUUUACUUUACGUCAUUUACAUUCAAUAUUUUAACUGUUAUAUCUGCUUGCAACUAACUUAACAUUAGAACUGUGUUUAAUGUUAUAUUCUUGAAGGGGAUCUUAAUCUAUUCUGAUGUGCAUAAAUUGAUUCCUCUAUUCAUUAUAUGUUUAUCACUUAUCUAGAUAAAAGAAAAAGAAAAGGUUUAAAUGAUCUAUUCAACCCCCCUUCUAGAUCUAUUAUGUGCCCCCGGGAACUAACAAUCUUGUAUCGCACCUAUAUAACAUACAUAAGGUGGUUAUGUAGGUUAAUGCAUUUAUAUCUCAUUAACUUUUGACUUAACUUUGUAUUUUUCAAGAUUAGUAAUUCAUUCUUAACUUUAUCAAAUAUAUUAGAUUUAUUUAUAUUAUUAUAGGUCAAAAUACACUAUUAAGUGUCCAAUUAUAUCAUCAUAUGUCACAAUAUAUCAAUCCUCCAAGUUUCAUUUUAAAAAGAAUUAUAAAACUCGUUUGAACUAUUUUAAUCGUUAACGAACCUUGUUUUUCGUUUAAUCAUAACUUCUUCGUUACUUAUCCGGUUUGGUUUAUUCUUACGCCAAAUUAAAGCUUAUUCCAUCUACUUUAACACCAUAUAGGCCCUGAUUUCAGUCCUUAUUCCAUUCGGUACAGAAAAUUGCCCAAACCUGCUACCCAGAAUCUGUCCAGAUUCUAGAAAGGUUGAAUGACACUUCUGUCCCUUCAAGUUGCCACAUACUUUCAAAGUCGUCCCUAAAGUUCAAUUUUUGUUAGUUAGGUCCUUAAAGUGGCAUUUUAUUGGCGUUUCAGUUUUUUCAGCCCAAUUUAACCUCAACCCGACCCAUUUUGACACAACCCGACCUAGUUAGACCCAACCUAAAAUUUUAAUAUUUAAAAUAUAAAAUUAUUUUUAAAAUAAUAAUUAUAUUUAACAUUUAAAAUAUAUAUAUUUAAUAUUUUAAAAUAAAUUAUUAUAUUUAAAAUAAUAAUUAUUUUAAUAUUUUAAAAUAAAAUAAUUAUUUAAAAAUAGCUAUUUUUGAUAUUUAAAAAUAAAAUAUUAGUUUUUCAAAAAAUUAAAUAAAAAUUAUUUUAAUAUUUUAAAAUAAAAUAUUUUUUAAAAUAAUUUUAAAAUAAUAAUUAUUGUACUUAAUAUUUUAAAAUAAUAUUUAUUUUUUAUAUUUAAAAUAAAACAUUAUUUUUAAAAAGUUAUAAAGAUAAUUAGUAUUAUAAGGAAAAAUAUUAGAAACUUUUAUUUUUUUCAAAAAUGAGUAAAGUUCCAUAAAAUAUAGAUUCAAAAAAAUUACAUAAUAUAAUAAAACAUUAAGUUUUAAAAAUAAAUUAAGUUUUUUUUUCAUUUUUUAUGUAAAAUGUAUUUUCAGAAAUUGUUUUUUAAUAUAUGUACCAUUAUUAUAUGUAUUCUUAAUAUAAGAAUUUUAAAAACAAAAACUAAAUAUAGAAAUUAAAAUAUAAAAAAUAGUAAAAGAUAAAUAAAAAGGUGAUUCAAUUUUUUUUUAAAAUAAAAAAAAUUAAAAAAAUAAUUAUUAUUUUUAGAAAGAAAAAAUUAUAAUUUUUUUAGAAAUAAUUAAGAACUUUAGGGAUUCAAUCUUAAUAUUAAAUGUAAUUAUUAUUUAAUUUUUUAAAAAAACUAAUAUCUUAUUUUAAAAUAUUAAAAUUAAUUAUUUUAUUUUAAAAUAUUAAAAUAAUUAUUAUUUUUAAAAGAAUAAUUUAUUUUAAAAUAUUAAAUAUUUUUUUAAAUGUUAAAUAUAAUUAUUAUUAUAAAAUGAUUUUAAAAAUAAUAUUAUAUUUUAAAAUAUUAAGAAAUCGGGAUUGGUCAAAAUGGGUCGAGUUUGGUCAAAAUUGGUCAAAAUGGGUCGGGUUGAGGUCAAAUUGGGCUGAAAGAACGGAAAUGCCAACAAAAUGUCAAUUUAAGGACCUAACUGAGAGAAAUUAAACUUUAGGGACGACUUUGAAAGUGGGUGACAACUUGGAGGGACAAAAGUGUCAUUCAGCCUUCUAGAAAUUCAAAUUUUUGUGUUUCUCGGGCUAGUUUUGUGAAUUUUUAUCUCAUUCAUUAUACAUCGGAUUAAAGCCAUUUUUGGAUAUGUACUACUUCAUACUACGUUUGUAUUUUUAAAAAUAUAACAUGUAUGAAAAGAGUUUGGCAAGGCUUCGAAACAGCCCAUUCACAACAGUUUUUGACUUGGAAAUUUCCAGAUUUCUAGCAACUUUGUUAUUUUCCUCCCUAAUUUGCGAUUUAGUAACUUGCACACCAUACACCUGAUUUACUUCAAUUUUGGAUAUGUUUGAGAUGUUAAUACAUACUCCCUUCGUCCCAUAUUAAAUGUCCUAAUUUCUUUUUUAGGAUGUUUCAAAAUAAAUGUCCUAUUUCUAUAUUAGUAACUAUAUAUUUCAUAUUUUUUCAUUUAUACCCUCAUAAUCUUUUUACUCGACUUUUAUUGGAAAUUGAAUAAAUGUGAAAAUAUUUAUGAGGUAGAACUGUGGGUGCGCAGAUAAUGAGAGUCACCAUGUUGAAACACUAACUAAAUUUGUAUUUUUGUCAAUAUUGUAAUCAGAAAUAUAAACUACUAGCAUUUGGCUAGAAUAUAUUUUUGUUUUAAGAAAAGAAAAGAACAAUAAUGUCUGCCAUUCUAAUUCAUUAGCCACGAAUAUAAAAAUUAUUUUUUGCAUAAAGAUCAUCAGCUGGGAGCAAGAACAGGGGAAUCCUGCACCGUCUUUUCAAUAUGAGAGAUACAAUUGAUUAGUUUAAAUAGCCAGUAGCCACUGACUUCUAUGUCUCUUCAGGUAAAAGAUUAAAUAGUUGGGUCUUGAUUUCAGAUGGAUGGUUGUUUCCAGUUUUGUGUUCAAAAAUUAAUAUGUAGAGAGCAUAACAAAUUUUUAUACCAUAAGCCAUAUGUGUGCCGUACUUUUUAUAUAAUAACUACUACUACUUUUGUUCUUAAUAUUUUUAACUUUUAUCAUGGUAGAAUUCUUAGCUCUUGCUGCCUUAUCUGUUGUAUAUGCCCACUAGGCCACUACCCAUCUGGUGCCUGUUUUCAUUUUUAGUGUAGAACUUUAAAGUCCGGAGUAGACUAAGAUAUGGCAUAUAUAUAGGCUAGCAUACUUCAAAUAUUUUUAACGCAUCAAUUAGAUUAGAGUUAGGGAUUGCAUGCAUUUGAGAUUAUUGUUCCAUUUUAUUUUCUUUUUUGGGUUGGACAUUUUUGUUCUUAUUCUUGAGACAUAGUUAUUGUAGGUUGCAGGUGGGGCAGGAUGAACAUGGGUGAUGCUGAGAGAAGACUCCUUGCUAAUGCGUUGCUUGCUAUCUCCAACUAAUAGUUCGUUCUCCUUUCUGAGGCAUGCAUACCUCUUCACAACUUUAACAUAGUUUACCACUAUAUAUCAAGAUCUUGUUUCAGCUUUAUGGAUGCAUAUGAUGACCUGUUGGAAAUUAUCUGCUAUAUUUCUAAUAGCAGUAAGUAACGCAACAAGGCAAAAAAAGAGAGCAGCAAAAUGAAUAAGGAAUGCCAAAAGAAUAACUCCUUCACUUUUCAAUUAAAAUCAUAAUAAUCCCCCUAAGGCUACUUACAACUACUAUUUAUAAAUUGAUGGAACAUGCAUGCCCACAUACUCCACUAUUAAUAAAGUGGAGAGACCCACUACUGCUACUAUCAAACCACUAAGCCACUACAUAAGACAAAAACAUAACCCCACUACUACAACUAGCCUUAAUAACAUAAAAUAUAAUUUGCAUCAUAUUUUAUCACUCCCCCUUGAUGCAAAAACUAGAUACACCAAGAAGAGACCUGAACAUCACAAGCUUAGAGUAAUGAAGAGCUUUAGUAAAAUCAUCAGCCACUUGCUCAGUUGUAGGACAAUACUUCAAUUCCAUUGCUCCUCCUGCUAUUACAUCUCUGAUAAAAUGAUGACAAAGUUCGAUGUGUUUGGUUCUUCCGUGGAAGACAGGAUUCUUCGUCAUUGCAAUUGUGGCCUUAUUGUCACAAUAUAUUUCUGUGGAACCAUGCUGAACUUGCUGCAAAUCUUCAAGAAUUCUCUUCAUCCAAAUACCUUGACAAACAGUUGAUGAUGCUGCAAUGUAGUCCUCCGCUUCUGAUGAAGAUAAUGCAGUGGUAGCUUGCUUCUUCGAACUCCAUGAAACAGCCCUUGAACCAAGGUUGAAUACAUAGCCACUUGUACUUUUUCUAUCAUCUACAAAACUUGUCCAAUCACUGUCAGUAAAACCAAUUAAUUGCAUCGUGGAGGUUGGACUAUACCAGAUUCCAUAGUUGCUAGUUGCUCGGAUAUAACAAAGAAUUUGUUUGGCUGCUCCAAGAUGAUGCAUUGACCGAUAGUGCAUGAACCUUUACACCAAAUUGACCAAAAACAUAAUAUCUGGGCGAGUAUGAGUCAAAUACAUCAGCCCACCAACAAUACUUCUAAACCACUUUUCAUUAGCCUUCGGUGUUCCAUCAUUCACAGUCAAUUUCUCACAGGUGUUCAUGGGAGUAGACACAACUUUACAAUUCAACAUAUUAAACUUCUUAAGUAAGUCUAGAGCAUACUUUUCACUACAAGAAAAAAGCUUAAGUCCGACGGAAUAGUCCCUCGAAAAUAAGCCUAUUCAGUCGGAAGUAGGCUAUUUCCGAUGAAAUUUUGCGUCGGACAUUCGGUUGUAUAUAAACGCGUCGAAGAUAAGGCCCGUUAAAAACUCUGUCGGAGUUUUCUUAUCUUCGACGAACUUAUCUCCGACGAAAAUGCGUCGAAAAUAAGCUAUUUAUGACUGAAUAAGUAGGACGAAACUUUUCGUCGAGUAUAAUAUUUAUUAUGUUCGACGGAACUAUUCCAUCGGAAGUAAGUUAUUUUCGACUGAAUAUUAAAAUGAACUGGUAUUUAUUUAAACUGGCUAAUUAUUAAUUCCGACGAAAUUUGCGUCGGAGAUAGCCUAGUUCGGACGGUUACAUUCCGUCGGAAUUAACAUAUAACAUUGUUUAUUAAAAAAUAUGUUCUUAUUAACACCGAUGGAAUAUCCGUCGGAAACACCUUAUUCCGUCGUAAAUAACAGUAAUUUUGAUAUGCUAUACACUAUGAUAAGGAACCCAAAUUUGAUAUGCUAUACACUUCAUAAUAUCAAUAUUCUGCAAUUUUCAAAUUCCAAAUAAUAUACAGUUAAAUAAUAUGCAGUCCACAGACCCAAAAUCAAAAUUUCAAUUUCAACAAUAUAUAUAAACAAGAAGAAUAGGACCCGAAUUUCAGAUUUCAGACUCCCAAUUCUACAGGACCCAAAUUUUCGACCCACAAAUUCAAAUCAACAACAUAUUAUCCAAAUUGGGUUAAUCUCAUAUUCAAACAACUCAAACUAAACCUAAAACAAAUUAAGCCACAAAUUUCAGAAAUAUCAUACAAAUUUCAGAAAUAUUAUAACUUUCAGACAUUCAAAAAUAAUUUUUAUUUAACAAUUUGCAACAAAUUAACCCUAAAAAUAUAAUGCUUUGCAGAAAACUAACCUUGAAAUUCAAUUAAUGUGCAAACUAAAGGAGAAGAUUAACCGACGGUGGUGCCUAGUGGUGGCUGCUGGUGGUGGUGGCAGUACGUGGUGGUGGUGGUGGACUCGAAGGUGGUGGUGGAACCGGUGGUGUUGGCGACGAUGGUGGUGGUGGAGAUGAGAGCAGUGAGAGAAGUGAGACUGAGAGAGAGAAUGAAGUGAGAGAGCGUAAAGUGAGAGAGAAAUGAGAGAGAGAGAUAGAGCAAAGUGAGAGAAAUGAGGGGCGGCUGGGGAAGACGUUCUGAUUAAUUAGGUUCUAUGCUUAUUUUCGAUGGAAUAUCCGUCGAACUUGACUCUGUAAUUAAGGUAUCUUCGACUGAAUACUCCGUCAGAAUACACACUAUUCCGUCGAAAAUAAGGUUGGCGCUGGCGGGAACAUUGGCGCCAAUGGGAUACAUAUAUUUCCGACGAACAUCCGUCGAAAUUAAUCUAGGUUCGACUGAAUUAUGUUCGACUGAAUAAUCCGUCGGAAUAAUUAUUAUCUUAGAGGGAAUAUGUCCGUCGAACUUAGCUCCGUCGGAAUUAGCCAGUUUUCUUGUGAAGCAAAAAUACCCUCAUUAGUUUGCUGAAUUUGAAGACCAAGAAAAUAAUGUAACAACCCCAAAUCUGUCAUCUCAAACUCACUCAUCAUGCUUUCUUUAAAUUAUCUAAUAAGAGCAUUAGAGGAGCCCAUAUAUAUCAUGUCAUCCAUAUAAACAAAAACAAUAAGCACAUCAUUACCCUUUACCUUCACAUAUAAGGUGGGUUCACUUUCACUUCGACAAAAAUCAUUUUGAAGGAAAUAGGAGUCAAGUCUGUUGCACCAAGCUCUCGGUGCUUGUUUGAGACCAUAAAUGGCCUUUUUCAACUUGUAAACUUUCUCCUCUUGACCAUUGAUAACAAAUCCCUGUAGUUGUUCAACAUACACAUCUUCAUCCAAAAACCCAUUUAGAAACACAGACUUUACAUCAAAUUGAAAAACAUUCCAAUUUUUUUGAGCCGCUAAUACCAAAAUUAGUCUAACAAUCUCAAAUCUAGCUACGGGUGAAAAGUUUCAAAAUAAUCAACUUCAUGCUUUUAUACAUACCCUUUAGCGACCAGCCUCACCUUAUGCUUCUGCACACUUCCAUCUGGUUGGUACUUACUUUGUAGACCCAUUUCACGCCAAUUGCUUUUUUCUCCGGUGGCAAAUCUACAAGCUCCCAUGUGUUAUUCCUUUCAAUGGCGGACAUCUUCUCCUUCAUUGAAUUCUCCCAUUCUUCUUUCCCACAAGCUUCAUCAUAACUUAAAGGUUCUACAAACAAAAGAGCAUAAGUGGAAGCAUAUAUAUCACUCAAAGACUGCAUCUUUAUUGGCGGAGAUUCAUUGUUUUGCAAGGAUUCACUGCUGCUAGAUGGGCUACUUCUAGUUGGACUAUUUUGCAAUGAUUUACUGCUGCUAGAUGGGCUAUUUGUUGAGCUUCUAGUUAAACUGUGCAUAGGAGACAUAUGAGGCGAAUUCAUGUACAUCCUCUUGUAGUUGAGUUAAUUUUGUCCCAUCAUCUACAAAAGGAUAUAUUCUGAUCUUUAUCACCAACUUGCUGCCAAACAAUGUUCUCAUCGAAAAUAACAUCUCGUCGAAUGAUUAGCUUCUUAGUAAGAGGAUUAUACAAACGAUAACCUUUAGUUUCAGCACUAUACCAAACAAAAAUGCACUUUUCGUUUUUCUUUUCCAACUUAGUACGAUCAGUAGAAUCAAUUAAGGCAUAUGCAAUAGAACCAAACACUUUUAAAUUACUUACAUUGGGCUUAACUCCCCACCAUGCUUCAUAAGGUGUUUGAUUUCUUUCUGCUUUUGUUAGAGAUAUAUUGAGAAGAUGGAUUACAGUAGCUAUUGCCUCGGCCCAAAAACUAUUUAGAAGCUCCUUCUCAUUUACCAUACUCCGUGCCAUUUCUACAACCGUCCGAUUUUUCCGUUCAGCAACUCCAUUCUGUUCUAGAGUCUUUCUUACUGUUAGUUGCCUCCGGAUACCAUUCUCUUUGCAAAAGAGAGUAAAUUCAUAGGACAAGAAACUUUCCCCUCUAUCAGUUCUGAGAGUUUUGAUUGCAUAACAUCUUUGUUUCUCUGCAAAAGCUUUGAACUCCUUAAACUUUUCAAACGCCUCAGAUUUUUGACUAAGAAAAAACACCCAACUCAUACGAGAAAAAUCAUCAGUAAAUAAUAAAAAAUAUUUACUAUUAUUUAAAGAUAAUGUUUUUGUUGGUCCAUAAAUAUAUGCGUGAACCAAUUCCAAAGGCAUCUUCGCUCUCCAAGCUUUACCAAUCGGAAAAGGCAGCUUAUGUUGCUUUCCAUAAACACAACCUUCACAAACACUAUCAACUGAACCAAUAGAUGGUAAUCCCGUCACCAUGUUUUUUUGACCCAAUAAUUUUAGCCCAUUAAAAUGCAAAUGCCCAUACCUUAAAUUCCAAAGCCUAGACUCUUCACGAACAUUAGCAACCAUUGCACAAUCAUCCAAACAUGAUAACGCAAGAUGAAACAUUUUGUUUUCAGUCAUGUGGACUUUAAAAAUAGAAUUUUCAGAUUUUCUAUUUUUAAUUUCACACAUUCCAUCAUGCAAAUGAACUAAAUAUCCCUUUUGAAUUAACUAACCCACACUAAGAAGGUUAUGUGCCAAACCAGGAAUAUAGUAAACAUCAUGAAUUAGUUUUUUAAUACCUGACUUAGUUUUAAUUGCAAUUGUCCCUUUUCCUUCAAUCUGUACUUGUUUGCCAUCACCAAGCCCGACCUUUAAUUGAACUGAUUCAUCCAUUGUUUGAAACAUUCCCCUUUCUCCGGUCAUAUGAUUUCUACAGCCACUGUUUAGAAACCAAACCUCAUUCUUACUUAUGUUAGGAUUUAAAUAAGUAAGAAAAGGCUACCUUCCUCUUCAUUUUCCUCGACAAAAUUGACUUGUUGUUUGGCUUUCUCAAUUUUUUCCGGGCAAUUUCGUGCUAUAUGACCAUAGUUGUUGCAAUUAUAGCACUGCCUUCCUUUGUUAUCCUGCCUGUCAAAAUGCCCCAUAUCAGACCUUCCUCGACCUCUUCCACGACCACGGUAGCCACCUCUACCUUGGCCUCUGCCAAAUAUCUUUUGUCCAGAAGAGCCUUCACCAAAUUUUCCUUUAUUUGAGAGCUUCACUUUGGUUUGAAAGGGAUGCUCAAGAUUCUUCUCUUUUGACCUGUUAAUUCUCUCUUCAUGUGCUAAAAGAGAACCCAUUAGUUCAUUAAGAGAAAAUGUAGACAAGUCCUUAGACUCCUCAAUGACUGUAACAACAUGAUCAAAUUUAUUCUGAAGACUUCUUAAUAUCUUCUCCACAAUUUUCUAAUCUGAGAUAGUUUCUCCAAAAGCUCUCAUUUGAUUAACUAUACCAGAUACUCUAAAAAAGAAAUCUUGAAUGGACUUGUUACCUUUCAUGAGAAGUGUCUCAAAUUCCCUUCGGAAUGUCUGCAAUUUAACCGUUGUUACCUUGUUGUCUCCGUGGAACUCCUACUUCAAAAUAGUCCAUGCUUCCUUUGAUUUUGUGGCACCAGCAAUUCGAGGAAAUAUAGGGUCUGUUACACCUGUUGAAAAACAAGUAGAGCCUUCACAUCCUUUUUGCGAAGUUCUCUAACAUCUGUUGCAUUCUCUACAAAACCAUUCUCAACCAACUCCCAAAGUUCUUGUGCAAUAAAAAAAGUUUUCAUUUUGAUGAUGCUCCAAAACUCAUAAUUUUCUCUAAUAAAUGAAGGAAUCAAGGAUUGAGAAAGAUUUAGAACAUUACCAUUUGCCAUAGUUGCAAAAAGCUUUACCUGAACACCUUGUGUGCACAACAAUAAGACCCACUGAUGAUGCUACAUCAACAAUCCAGAAAACUCCAGCGCCCAACGUCAAUCAAACGAGGCUCUGAUACCAAAAACUGUUGGAAAUCUGCUAUAUUUCUAAUAGCAGUAAGUAACGCAACAAGGCAAAAAAAAAAAGAGCAGCAAAAUGAAUAAGGAAUGCAAAAAGAAUAACUCCUUCACUUUUCAAUUAAAAUCAUAAUAAUCCCCCUAAAGCUACUUACAACUACUAUUUAUAAACUGAUGGAACAUGCCCACAUACUCCACAAUUAAUAAAGUGGAGAGACCCACUACUACUACUAUCAAACCACUAAGCCACUACAUAAGACAAAAACAUAACCCCACUACUACUACUAGCCUUAAUAACAUAAAAUAUAAUUUACAUCAUAUUUUAUCAUGACCCUGGACCCUAUGGAAAAGGGGGCUAUAAUGACAACAUGGUUCACGUGGUUAACAUCACCCAAUGGCACAACAGGUCUCAGUGGUUUGAAAUUAAUUGAAAACUAGCAAUUGACAUUGUUGAAGAUGAUACUUUUACCCAAAGUUUGAGUAAUUACGUUAUGCAGACCAGCGUGUUAUGUGGAAGAGCACUAUUUUCCAACCAUGUUGAGCAUCCAUUCGCCCAGCCUCUUGGCAAACAGGAGCAUUACCUUGGUGGACAGUGGACUGGUCUAUAGAUGGUGCUCAUCCUGCUACAUUUGGGAAAGCUAAUAUGACACAAUAAUUUUUUAAGAAAAUUCUCCAAGCUCAAACAUGGAGCUAUAAUAACCGGACAUUUUCACCUAUAAGAAACCCUUCGUUGGAAAUAAUUGUUUGUUGGUGCAUACUAUAUUACUUUUUGUUUAUUUCUAUAUAUAAUUUGUAUUGGCUUUAAGACUCUUUUUUUCAUGAAGGUGUUUAUUUGAAUUUUUAAUGUAAAAAUAUUUAAAAAUAUAUUUUUCUAGUGAAUAUGUUCUUUUAGUUGUAUUUAAUUUAUUUUUUUCAUUCAUUUUAUAAGUUUGUAGACUAUAGUAUAUAACAAACGAAAAAAAUCAUUUCACAUUUCAUUAAACAGUUAAAGUAAAGUAGAAUGAUAAUUUUAUUCUUGACCGAAUGAAUGAACAAACCAAACAUAAAAAUGGAAUGAUCAUUCCAUUCCCAUUCCCAUUCCCAUUCCCAUUCCAUUCCUUAAGCCAUUCCAUUCCUUACAUGCCAAGGAAUGGAAACCAAACAUAGUAUAAGUUGUUUUCGCGGUAGGCAACGUUAAGGGCUUUUAUUAUUUUUAUUACUAUUAUUAUUAAUAUUAUUAUUAACUAGCUCAUAAUCUUAUGAGAAGCACAAACUUUGUUUUGUUAUAAAAUUAUAGUGUUGUGGGCCCAAGUGCAAAAUUAGGGUUCACAUGACCUAAUUGAAUUAAAUGCACAAUUAGAGUUCCACGACCUCAUUAAAUGUGCAAAUUAGAAUUCACAUAACCUAAUCAAAUGAAGACGAAAAAGUUAGAAAUAAAUGUGCUAGACCCGAAAGAAGCCUCCACGUGUCCCGAGGCAGAAGACUCGUGGAGGCGACUCGUUUUGAGAAUUGAUUGAGGAAUGGGAUUGGUGGCUAGAAUGACAGGGAAAUAUGGGCAUUAUUCUAAUGACUAAAGGGUAUUUCUGUUAUUUCCCUGAAAACAUGUGCCUAACAUGUGACUACUUAAUUCUAGGAAACUCUAUAAAUACCCCUUCCAUUCUAGGAAGGGGGAGGACUCUUUUUGGUGACUUACGGUUUGGAUAUUCCACCUAAAAGCACUAAACGGGUUUGGGACCUCUCUUCAGACGCAUGACUUGGACUCUUGGAGGAUCAAAGGACCUGGACAUUCUCUCUCAACACUCAGGAAGAUUCUUUGAAUCCCAAUAACCCUAAUAAGGUUUUCGGAUUCUAGGAGUGGAAGGACUCAAGGAGAAGGCUCUUGAAAUCCCAAUAACCCUAAUAAGGUUUUCGGAUUCUAGGAGUUUUGCCACGCGUCAUUGGAGUAAUCGCCCACCUGUCGAUCUCCCCUCUUCAAUAAAUCAAUCAAUUCUGUGUUCUUCGUGUAUUUCUCUCCUCCUCAGCCAAUACGAAACCCUAAAUGGUAAGGCACGAUUUUCUUGCCCACAUUUCUUUGGCGACUCUGCUGGGGAGGUGUAGAAUUCAUGAAGGGUAUGCUCAUAACUCGAAGUGGGAGAACAACAGGAAAAGCUUCACCAACAAAUAGCAUUACCUCACCGGAUCCAGUUCCAAGGCAGUCAAGUCAAGCUUUCCAAGGCGUGAAUCUAAAUCUCGAGCAACCCAUCCUUAGAGAAGCCUCAGAAGGAACUUCAACAUCACCAUACAUGGCUGAUCAACAACUAACGAAUGUCAGGCAGACAGGUGUGAGAAGGCAAGGCGAGAAAGAAUGUGGGGAUCAGGCAAAUGCUGUGCAACUGGAGAUGCUCAAGACUUUGAAGGAAGCACGUGAAGGACAAGGGAUGAUGAUGGCUAUGAUGCUGAAGAUGCAGAGGAAGCAAGAAGAAAUGGAAAAUUUUCGUCAGCAGUGGAUGCAGAUUCCCGCUUUCAAAGCCAUGUUCCCAGACAAUUCACAUGGAGAACCGACAGGAGUGGAGAACAACAAUAACGAUAGAAACAAUAAGGAGAAUCAGACUGCACCUAUAUUGACGGAGCAUUAGUCUGUUCCAAUCAUCCACUUGGAACCUCAAAACAGUGGUGACGUGCCACAACCCAGAUUGGAAGUCAGCCAACCUCAGACAAACAUCAUUCUGAUUACUAUCCCCGCAUUUUCACAAGUGCAGAUACCAACCAUCCCAAGCCUCGUUCAACGAACUAGCCCACAAGCAUAACCGAUUGAUGCCAGUGUACAUCAGCUAAUUUCUGUACCACAGAGAGUCCAUACCACGAGCCAAUAUGUGACAAAGGAUGAUAUGAUCGAUGUGAUCAAUCAACUUCACAAGCAGACAUCCUGACCUUCAGAGUUCGACUUUACUCCACCCUACCCGGCACAUAUUCAGAGAUAACCUUACCCGACAGGGUAUAUUGAGCAUCCCCCACAAUUUUCAAAAUACAAUGGGGAGAAAGGAAAUGCCAGGGAACACAUUGCCAGGUUCGUGGAGUCUAUGUCUCCAUGGUUAGGGUAUGAUGAAAGGAACAAUCACAAUUUGUUGAUGAGGAAAUUCAACUAGACUUUGACAGAUAAUGCCUUCAGUUGGUACUACAACUUGGAGAAGGGAUCAGUCCAUGAUUGGGAUGAUCUAAAAGUGAAAUUUUUUAAGAAAUUUUUUUAUGUGCAGAAAUAGGUAACCAUCGUAGAGCUCAUGCGAUUCAAGUAAAAGCCAAACGAGGAGGUGUCAGAUUACGUGGAUAGGUUCAGGGCCCAAGCAUAGAAGUGUGCAGAGCCAAUUGAAGAAAAGAACUUGGUUAGCAUAUGCAACAAUGGUGCUUUAAACGCCUUCAAGCCCCACCUCAUUACCAAGGCAUGUGAUUCAUUUGCGACCCUCUCAUCUUUUGCACAAGACUUGGGGGGAAUAAUGACAUUUCCCACCAGCCAUACGAUGGAUACAUGGAAGAACAAGGGGAUAGCAACUGUGGCUUUGGUGGAUUCUCAGUCAAAACCACAAGGGGGCAAGAGGGAGAAGAAUGAGAAAUUUGAACGAAGCAGAGAAAAGCAUGGGGACAAGUAUACCAGAAUGCCCAUUCCAGAGGCUAUCACAUGCAGCGAGAAGGCAUUUAGGAGCCUGUACGAACAAUGGGUUGAGCACAAAGUGGUGAAACCUCCAAGGCCCCGGUUGGUUGUGACGGAAGAGAUGAAAAAAAGACUAGACUUCUGUGUAUACAACCAAUACGUACGGCAUUCCAUUAUGGACUGUUACAGUCUGCGGAGGAUAUACCAUGAGAAGCUGGCGGCCGAAGAGAUUGAACUAGGAGAAAAAACGUGCAACACUAUCACCCAUGGUGCAGUACCGAAAGUCAAUAACCUAAAUACUGGCUCUACCAUUGAAAGAACUCUGAACUAUAGAUGAAUUAAAAAUCCACCCAAGAUGGUGGUCCACCAAAAAAUGUUGGUUCAAGUCAUCAGGAGUAUCCCUUGCCAAAUAAUUGGAUGACCAAGGGAGGAGGCACAAGAAUUGACGAAAAAUUUUUUCCACCCAAGAUGGUGGUCCACACUAAAUGGUGGCCAAGUCCUCAUAGACUGCACUUUCUAAGAAAUUGGACGACCCAAGUGACGAGGCACCAAAUUUCAAUUCCUCGUAGACUGCACUUGCCAAGAAAUUGGACGACCCAAGUGACGAGGCACCCGAUUUCAAGUCCUCGUAGACCGUACUUGCCAAGAAAUUGGACGACCCAAGUGACGAGGCACCCGAGUGUUACACUUUAUCAUCAAAAGUGAAUGAGGCACUUGACUAUAAGUCCUCAGACCCGAAAAGUUAUACUUUCAACUUUAAAAGUAAUUGAGGCACCUGACUAUAAGCCCUCAACCCCGAAAAAGUUACACUUUAUCUCUAAAAGUGGUGAACGUUAUGCUUUCGCCGACAAAAGCAAGAUUUAUUAUAUGAAACGUUAUGCUUUUCGUUAAAAGCAAUUUGAUUAUCAAUAAAUUUGUCAAACUUUCACUUAUACUUGAUUUAUUUCUUUUGAUUUAUGAAAAAAAAUGAAAAAAUAAAUAAAUAAAAAAAAGAGUAUAGAUUCAAGUGUUAGUUUGUAUGAAAUAUAUGUACAUGAUUUUCUGAUACAGGAAAUAAAAAAAAAACUACGAAAGUUCAUGAUCUAAAGGCCAUGACCUGUCGAAUUGAAGAUAGAUGAAUACCUAAAGCUUGGUCUUCGUGGCUAUCAGUAAGGGUGUUCACGGGUAAAAAAUCGGAUCGAACCGGUCCGAACCGGACCGAAUGCCGAUAGUACCCAAAAUACAGUACCGAUACCGGUACCAGUUGAACCGGUAUACCGAACCGAAUAGCCGAUUCGAUACCGGUUCGGUACCGGUUUUUACUUUACUAGAACCGGCCCUAAUUUUAACAAAAACUCAGCCCAAUUUUAAACCAAAAUCAGCCCAAGAAAGAGCAGACCAAGACUUGUUUUUCUGCAAAAAUUCGGCCCAAGGUCAAGACAUUUUGACCCAAUAAAAAAUAAAAGACUUGAAAGUCUUUUUAUAAGAAAAACUUACUUGAACUUUUAUAAAAUAACCAAUGUGGGACUUGGCUAUUAAGGUCAUGUGCCUUUUUAGAAGGAAAACUUCAAAAUAUUUUUAUAAAAAAAACCAAUGUGGGACUUGGUCACUUGGCUAUUAAAAUCUCACUUGAUAGUAUUUUUAUAAGGAAAACUUCCUUACACUUUUAUAAAAUAACCAAUGUGAGACUUGACUAUUAAGGUCUUACUUGUAGUUUUUUUAUAGGAAAACUUCCUUAGACUUUUUAUAAAGAACCAAUGUGGGACUUUAAUACUGGACCUUCACUUGGUAGUCUUUUAUUAAUCAAUGUAGACCACUUAAAGAAGACUUUUAUUCUAAUUUCUUUUACUUUUACCAAUUAAAAUAAUAUAGAACUUGUAAACAACCAACUAUUAAUGUAUUUAAGUUUAUCUAAUUUUUUUUACUUUUUCCAAUCAUUAUAGAACUUGUAAACCACUAACUAUUAAUGUUUCCCUUAGUACUAUUUUUAUAAAAAAACUUUACUUGAUACUUGGUAGUCUAUACUUGAUAGUCUUUUAUAAAGAAAACUUCCUUAAACCUUUAUAAAUAACUAAUGUGGGACUUGACAAUUAAGGUCUCACUUGAUAGUCUUUUAUAAGGAAAAUUUCUUUUGAUUUUUAUAAAAUUAACCAAUGUGGGACUAGUACUUGUCCUUCACUUGGUAGUCUUUUAUAAGGAAAAUUUCCUUAGAGUUUUAUAAAAUUAGCUAAUGUGGGACUUGAAUACUUGACCUUAACUUGGUAGUCUUUUAUUAAUCAAUGUGGGACUUCUAAACAACCAUAUAAUCAAUGUAGGUCUCACUUGUAUUUUUUUUAAAGGAAAAUUUCCUUAGACUUUUAAAAGUGAACCAAUGUCGGACUUGACUAUUAAGGUUUUACUUUGAAGUCUUUUAAUAAAGAUAACUUCCUUAGACUUUUAAAAGUGAACCAAUAAGGGACUUGACUAUUAAGGUUUUACUUUGAAGUCUUUUUAUAAGGAAAACUUCCUUAGACUUUUACAAGUGAACCAAUGUGGGAAUUGACUAUUAACGUUUUACUUUGAAGUCUUUUUAUAAGGAAAACUUCCUUAGACUUUUACAAGUUAACCAAUGUGGGACUUGGCUAUAUGUUAUUCUCUUGUCUUACCAAUAUCCCCCAUUGUCUAAUUUGUGUUCUCAUGUCUUACUUCUAUUCUAUAAAUAGAGGAGACCACCAAUUCAAAUUUCAUUCAAGUCCCAAGUAUUUUAUUUUGUAUUUUCUUGUGUUAGUUCUAUAGUUCUAUUUUAUAAAUAGAGGAGACUUUAACCCAUUUUUUCAAAGCUAAGUGAAAUAUUUUUUAAAAAAAGAAUUAAACCGGUACAAUCGGUUCGGUCCGGUACAUACCGAACUUCUAAAAUAGGUAACCGGAACCGGUACCGAAAAAUCGGUAUAUACUGGUUUUUUUGUACUGAACCGGAUCGGUUCUUUUUUAUACCGAACCGACCGGUUCGGUCAGGUUUGGAAAAUUGAAAAACCAGAAAAACCGAUCCAAAUGAACUGCCCUAGCUAUCAGGCCUUCGAGGCUAUCAGCAGGUCAUCGAGGCUAUCAGCAGGUCUUCUAGGCAAUCAGCAGGUCUUCGAGGCUAUCAGCAGGACUUCGAUGCUAUCUUCAGGCCUUCGAUGCUAUCUUCAGGCCUUCGAUACUAUUAGGCCUUCGAGGCUAUCAGGACUUCGAGGUUAUCAGUAGGACUUCAAGGCUAUCAGCAGGUCUUCGAGGCUAUCAGGCCUUCGAAGAUAUCAGGCCUUCAAGGCUUUCAGGCCUUCACGGAAUUCUUGGUUCUCAAUGACUUCUUGAUUCUAAAGAAAAGAAAAAUUUCAAGAGAGGGUAAGAAAGAUUAGAUCGAAGAUUUUCAAAUUAUCCCAAGAGAGCUCCUCUAAGGCUCGCCCUUCUAGGGUUUGCUCCCCUAGAGGUUCCCUCUCCUAGGACUUUUAUUUUCGAGGCUUGCAAAACAUCAAGCCCCGCAAAGUGUUAAGACACUGGAAUCAAGACUUCAACACUAUGUUGGGAGAAUGCAUAUUAUGCUUUGAUGUUUUAAUGUAUAUGUUCAUAAUUAUUUGUAAGGUCCUUAAAUGAAUAUAUGUACAAGGACUUAGUGAUAGAUCAAAGUUGUUAGGUUGAUCUAAGCUUUCAACGUGUACCAUUCUGAUAAAGAAUGUAUAGAUAGAAAGAUCAAAACUGUUAGGUUGAUCUUAAGAUGUAAUAGAUUAGUCUUGAAGAAAUCGUAGUACAUCCAUCUGAUCAACAUUGCAGGAGUCAAGGCAGAAAACGUAGAGCCUGAAGAUCGUAGUGUGCCUGCCUUGAAGGGGACUCUUCGGAAAUCGUAGAGUGGUCCCAACGUUUGCCGAGCCAACUCCACGAUCGCAGUAUGCUGAAGGAAACAUGAAGUUUUAUAAGUCAACGACCGUAGUGUGCUCUCGGGAACAUAGAGUCAACAACACAAGCAAGAGAAGAUCGUAGUGUGCGAAGGUUUAAGGGAAAUCGUAGUGCUCUCGAACUGAUAACUUCGUAGUAUGCAAAGAUGUCAAAGACACUACGAUCUAAAUCAUAGAACACCACAAUCCAAAUCGUAGAGCAUCAUCUGUCUUAUGUCAGAAAACGUAGAGCCUCAUGAUCUGUGUUUUCAAUAAGUGAGGAAUGGAUCCCAGAUGCUGCAGUGCUCAUCAGUCCCAAAAUAUAUGAAAUAUCCUUAGUAUGUAACAAAGAAGCGUAUUGAAGAAGCUAAGGAUAGUACCAUGGGUAAGAGGGACAAAACACAUUUUCAGGUGGUAGGUGAGAAAGCAGCCUGCAGUGUCAGUGGGCCAGAAUGCAGAAUCCAGAAGAUGUGCAAAAAUGUCUCCAUCACAGUACAGAAAGUUCAGACGCAUUUAAUGCCACAACGGAUGGAUCCAACGAAUAGUUUUCAACAUCACAUAUAUAUACAGAUCAGACAGAUGAGAGAGAAAAUAAGCAAGCAUUAAACAAACAACGUGAACAUCUCUCUCAAGCUCAACUCUACGAUCUGAGAUAUUGCAAAGCUUGCUCAGCUACUCAGUUCUUUAGAACAAGUGCUUACACAGCGACUAAAUAGCAACCAUCAAGAACUCAACAACUAUCAAUCAACUGAAGAAGAGUACCAAGUCUGCUGGACUUGAAGAGUUUGUAGUGAACUGUAAGAAAGCCAAGUCUGUUGGACUUGAAGAGUUCAAGAGUGAACUAGAGAAGUUCCUAGACUGCUGGUCUAGAAGGAAUCUGUGUGAUUCAGAAGAUUGUAAAAGACAUCCUUAGUGGAUAUCCUACUCAUUGAGUAGAAGAGUGGACUAGGAGCUUUGAGUGCUCUGAACCACUUAAAAACAACUGUGUCAUUUACAUUCAUGUUAUAUCUGCUAUAACUUCCUUACUCGCUCAUAACUCCAUUGCCUGGUAAAGAAGAUUAAAACAAAUACUAAUUCCGCUAAGUUUUAAUCAUUAUCUAAGAACAAGUUUAAAAAGGAAAGAUUUUCAAAUAUCUAUUCAACCCCCCCCCCCUUCUAGAUAACUUGUGCCUACUAGGAACUAAUAAUUGGUAUCAGAGCAGGUUCUAUUUUACAGCUUACAAGCUUUAGUAGAUCCAAAUGGUACUCGUACCAAGCGAAUCCAGGACCAGGGGAGGCAGCAAGCCACCAAUGUGCAACAAGGAUAAAUUUGCUAACUGGAAAGUCAGGAUGCAAGCUUACAUGGACUCAAUAGAUGAAGAUCUAUUUAAGACUGUUCUUAAUGGGCCCUAUAUACCAACGAAGCUUGCACCAACCAUUGACGAUCCAAACAGAGUACAAAUCAAAGUUAAAGAAGAAUGGACAGACACAGAGAAGAGAGCUGUCCAACUUGAUAAAAAGGCAAAGAACAUCCUGUUCCAAUCCUUAGAGGACGAUCUGUUUGAAAAUGUUGUAAACAGCAAAACAGCUAAGGAAGUUUAGGAAGCACUGCUGAUUAUGCACGAAGGAACUGAAGAAGUCAGAGAGAACAAGCAGUCUCUCCUGACACAGCAGUAUGAAAUGUUCGCUCAUGUGCAAGGAGAAAACGUGACCACAACCUAUGAAAGAUUCAACGUUCUGCUCAACUCUCUACGAGUGUAUGGGAAGAUCUAUCCUAACAAGGAUCUAACCAUAAAGUUCAUGAGAGCCCUACCGAGCAGGUGGGAUGCAAAGACCACAACAAUAAGAGAAUCAAAGAAUCUUAAUGAGAUGACAGUUCAAAAAAUGUAUGGAAAUCUCCUGACCUACGAACUGGAGUUGACCCAACGCACUGAAACCUUAUCAGAAGGAAGAAGAAAGGAUAAGGGUGUUGCUCUNNNNNNNNNNNNNNNNNNNNNNNNNNNNNNNNNNNNNNNNNNNNNNNNNNNNNNNNNNNNNNNNNNNNNNNNNNNNNNNNNNNNNNNNNNNNNNNNNNNNNNNNNNNNNNNNNNNNNNNNNNNNNNNNNNNNNNNNNNNNNNNNNNNNNNNNNNNNNNNNNNNNNNNNNNNNNNNNNNNNNNNNNNNNNNNNNNNNNNNNNNNNNNNNNNNNNNNNNNNNNNNNNNNNNNNNNNNNNNNNNNNNNNNNNNNNNNNNNNNNNNNNNNNNNNNNNNNNNNNNNNNNNNNNNNNNNNNNNNNNNNNNNNNNNNNNNNNNNNNNNNNNNNNNNNNNNNNNNNNNNNNNNNNNNNNNNNNNNNNNNNNNNNNNNNNNNNNNNNNNNNNNNNNNNNNNNNNNNNNNNNNNNNNNNNNNNNNNNNNNNNNNNNNNNNNNNNNNNNNNNNNNNNNNNNNNNNNNNNNNNNNNNNNNNNNNNNNNNNNNNNNNNNNNNNNNNNNNNNNNNNNNNNNNNNNNNNNNNNNNNNNNNNNNNNNNNNNNNNNNNNNNNNNNNNNNNNNNNNNNNNNNNNNNNNNNNNNNNNNNNNNNNNNNUUCAACCUUGUUCUACUGUUUCUAGUUAUAUUCAGAGAAGUAAAGGAUCUCACGUUGGUCUGGGUUUCAUAAAGGAGAAAAGUAACCCAACCUCUACUCACCAACCUCGAAGAAUCGUAGAGUCAAGCAAAACCAACUCUAUGAAUUAACUAGGAAGGUACAAUAGAGGUAAGGCACACUCAUCCCUAUUUAUGAAACCUAAGGACACGUGGAAGAAAGAGAAUCAGUUUAACAGAAGGUUAACUAAGGAACCACACAAGUCCAAGUGGAAGAUGAAUCACCACACACACACAGGCAUGCAUCAUAAUAGAUGUUUCAUAUGCAAUAAAUUUGGUCAUAGGGCCACAAAGUGUUAUUAUAACUCCAUGCAUGUGAGACCCAAGAUUAGACAAAUUUGGGUCCCUAAAGGCACUAACAAUGAAGGACCCAUGCAAAUAUGGGUACCAAAAUGAAGGUUCAAAUGUUUUGACAGGAAAAGAGCUCCACGACCUCAACAUGGUAUCUGGACAGUGGAUGCUCAAGGCAUAUGACAGGGAACAAAGCUCUACUAUCUAACUAUGUAGAAAAAGAGGGUCCCUCAGUCAUCUUUGGAGAUAACGGCUAGGGUAAGACAAGAGGAUUUGGCUCUGCUGGAAAUGGUGCAGUAUCUUUCAGCAAAGUAGCUUAUGUGGAAGGACUCCAACACAACCUUCUAAGUAUCAGCCAACUCUGCGACAAGGGUCACCAAGUAACAUUUCUAAACAACCAAUGUCUAGUCAGAGAUUUGAAGACAUCUGCCAUAAAGCUGACCGGAACAAGAGAAGGAAAUGUCUACACAGUAGAUCUUGGUCAACUAAGCUCUGAUGAGACAAUAUGUUUUCUGGCAAAAGCAUCCGAGGAAAUGAGCUAGCUAUGGCAUAGAAGGCUGUCUCACUUAAACUUUAAAAGCAUGUCCAAACUGGCAUCAAAAGACCUUGUAGCUGGUCUACCCAAGUUCAACUUUGUGAAGGAAAGGCCAUGCAAUGCCUGCCAGCUUGGAAAUCAAACCAGAAGCUCAUUCAAGUGCAAGACUGCCAACUCCAUUGACAAACCCCUGCAUCUGCUCCACAUGGAUCUUUUUGGGUCAAUCCUAACAACUAGUCUUGAAGGAAAAAGAUACUCUCUAUUCAUAGUUGACGACUACACCAGAUUCACAUGGGUAUUUUUUUUAACCUCAAAGGAUGAGACAAGCUCCGAAUUAAUCAAGAUGUUCAGACUGGUGAUGAACGAGAAAGGAGAGAAAAUCAAGGCCAUAAGGAGUGAUCAUGGAAGAGAAUUUGAUUUCUUAGAAAUAGACAAGUUCUGCUCAGACAAUGGCAUCAGUCAUAACUUCUCAGCUCCACGAACUCCUCAACAAAAUGGAGUUGCUGAAAGAAAGAACAGAACCCUGAUAGAGGCUGGAAGGACUCUACUAGCAGCAGCUCGUCUUCCUGAAUACUUCUGGGCAGAAGCUGUCAACACUGCAUACUACUCACAGAAUAGAUCAUUAAUUCACUCUACGAUCAAGGAGACACCCUACGAACUAUGGAAAUGAAGGAAGCCGAGUGUCAGCUAUUUCUAUGUCUUUGGCUGUGCAUGCUAUAUUCUCAACAAUGGAAAACAGUAUCUGACAAAAUUUCAGCCCAAGUCAGACGAAGGAAUUUUUCUUGGAUAUGCCACAGACAGCAAAGCUUACAGGGUGUUUAACAAGAAGACACUGAAUAUCGAAGUCUCAAUACACAUCAUCUUUGAUGAAACUGACUUAGACUAAGCAGUACCUCAAGACACUACGACCGAUAGUGCAGACACUAUGNNNNNNNNNNNNNNNNNNNNNNNNNNNNNNNNNNNNNNNNNNNNNNNNNNNNNNNNNNNNNNNNNNNNNNNNNNNNNNNNNNNNNNNNNNNNNNNNNNNNACAUGUCCCACUAAGUCAAAAAGAGAGAGGGAAGUUACAAGUACAAAUUGAAACCGUGUUUUUGAAAUCUGAAGUUUAAAAGAUUAUCUCUCCCAUUCUCUCUCUCUCAAAGCAAAACCCUAAAUCAGUAGAAAGCUCAGUCGUAUCUCACUUCUCAAACUACAGAAUCAAUGGUUGCUUCAAAUGUAAUUUCAGGCUACAGACUCUGUUUUGACGAGUUCAAAGAUGCUCCACCAAAAUUUCACAAGACCUUAGCGCUACUGAAGAAGGCAGAUCUCGAAGAGGCGCUGAGCACCGACACCCUCAUCUACCCCAAGCUAGUGAAGGAGUUCUACAAGAAUGGUGUGAACGAACACAACACCAUCACUACACGAGUAAAAGGAGUAGAAAUGAGACUAAGGGAAGAAGACUUCAAUCUGGCCCUAGGUUUCAAGAAUGUAGGGCACCCAUUUCUAGACAGCAUAAGCUUCCAAGAGGGAUUGAAGAAAAUGCACCACAAGAAGAAUCCCUCUGUGAAAGGCUACAAAAAGAAGGAGUUCCCUCAAAGGUACGAAUUUUUGGCUGACAUUAUUGGGAAAUGCAUCUGUUGCAAGAGCUCAGGUCAUGACUCGGUAAAUGAGACUCAGCUUAAGCUCAUGACGGCCAUGGUUCAUGGUACACGACUCAACUAUGGGGUUGUAUUGCUCGAGUGGAUCGGCAAGUGGAUCGUCAACUCGAAGAAAUCAAAGAGCACUCCGAAGAUGCUGUAUGGCAGAUUCAUAAGCAUCAUUCUGCAAUCUGCACUGGGUGACAAAAUUGGGGAUGAUGAAGGAGAAGCCAUCAAUCCUAAUCGAAGAAUGACCCAGCAGUUGUUUAAGAACUGGGAAAGGAAUCCUGCUGAGUAUGUUCGAAUGAUGACAGAGUCCAGUGGGAGAACUGGGGAACUAAAGGAGGCAGGCUUUCCAGGAGACAUGUAUGUUGUCAAGGAAGUUAAAAAAGAAGAAAAAGCAGACAAGGGAGAACCCUCUGCUCUUGCCAGAAAAAGCAAGGGCAAGAGAAAGCUAAGGGCGAGACAAAUCGAAGAGCCUCAAGGAUCUACAACUGACAUUCCUGUAGAGUCCUCUGAUAUAGAGACUCUAAGGAGGAUAAGAAAGAAGCAACAGCAAGAAGAAGCUGAAGAGGAUCAAGCCACCAUAUCACAUAUCCUAAAGAAGAAUAAAACUGGUCAUAAGUCCAAAAGACCAACAGUUUCUUCUAUUGUAGAGUCUCUGAUGUUCUCUGAAACCAGGUCAAGUGUGGCAGAAAUGGAAGAAGCUGCUUCAAGAAUAGUGCAUGUUCAACAUGACAAAGCUAAGACUCAAGAGAGUCCAGAAGUUGUGGCUAAACCCAGCAAAGCAAAAAGAAAGCUGGUCAAGAAGUAUAUUCUUAAGAAUGAAAAGGUGCUGAAAAAUGAAGCCAAGAGUGUGGCUGCAAAAGAGGAACAACUCCAAGCAAAUAAAGAGGACAGUGCUCCAGCUGAGGGGGAGAUUCCAGAAAUUCUCAUGAUUGAGUACACACCGGCUGAGGGGGAGAAGUCUACAGCUCAAAAAGGUGUUCCAGCUGAUGGGGAGUUUUUGAUCUCUCAAGAAGAUGUUCAUGCUAAGGGGGAGCCUCUUGAUAUCCCAAUGGCAGAAGAAGAGGUUCCUGCCCAAGAUAAAGAUGAAUCAAUGCCAAAAUUUCCAGAGACCAUUGAGAUAAUGGAAUCUUCAGAAGAGACCAAAGAAGAGGAAGAAAAUGAUAAUGAUGAGCUUAAAAUCACUGGUGUAGGGAAAGAUGGAUUUAGGAGCUAUAUGUACACUCAACUAUUUUCCUACCUACCCAUGAUGGCAUACCAUCAAGCUCAAAUCUUGAACUCAUGGGAUCACAUGUUCUGGAGCUUCAAGGAAUAUCCAGCAAUCUCAGUUCUGGCUAAUGGAUUUCCAGGGAAAGUCAUCUUUGCCAAGAAGCUGCUUACCAACCAUUCCUCAUCCAAGGAUAAACUUGAGGUAUUGACUAUUCAUGAUCUCUUUAAAGUUAAUCACUUGUCAUCAUCUUCAUUCAGUCAAUUCUAUGAAUUUCCUCGAUGGAUGGAAGUGAUUCUUCACCCACUCAAUCAGUUUCCAGUUACAGAAUCUCAAAAUUCAGUAACUGAAGAACAAAAAGAAGUCAACCCUACCCUGCUUCCAUAAAUCACCAACUCUACGAUUCAAGACUCCAGCCACAUCGUAGAAUCCAACAUUGAAAUCGUAGAGUCACCUAUCUCAGACAUCCAAACCCAAGCCCCUCUAGCUGAUAUACCAUCCUCCUCAUCACAUGAUUACUUCAGUCUUGAUCUCGCUCUUUACAAUUUGCAAGAUCAAUCUCAACCGAGAACCCCUCAAAUGAACAAUCCUCAAGCAAAUGAUACUCUCCCAAGCCUGCCUACCAAGGAUGACUUGAAAGACACCUCUGAGAAAAUGGUCAAGUCUAUAGAAGCAAGUUUGGAAACUCACUCUGUAAAUAUCAAUAUCCAGCUGAAUCAAAUGAUCACAGCUGUAAAUAAUUUCCCUAGCACUAUGAAUACUGAGCUUACAAAGAGGCUAAGAGAAAUUAUCAAAGAAAUUCUGAAGAGUAUGUCGGACAGAGAUGAGAUCCACUUCCAAAGAGCUGCUAAGCAAAGAGAGGCUGUUCUCGAAAUGCAGAAACACCAAGACCUUCAACAUAAAAUUAUGCUGGACAACAUCCUCAACCUAAAGGCUUCUGUCUAUGACUUCCAGAAAUCUUAUGCAAAUCAGGAGAAACAUAACGAUAUGAUUCUGACAGUUCUCCAAAAUAAAGAAGCUAAAUCUGAAAAAUAGAUCAAGAAAAAUAGAGAGGACAUCGCUCAAACCCAAAGCCAACUGAACGAUCUUGUCCAAGGAGUUAAUCGACUGUCUGCAGAUAUUCGAACCCUUGAUGCUGACAUAAAGGGGGAGAAUAAAAGGAAAGGAGAUCAAGGAGGUCAGGGAGGUCAUGGAACUCAAGAAAGGGGAAGUCGACAAUUUCAUGCUCAAGCAUCACGAAGUCCCCCUGCAAGACAAUUCCACAGUCAAAAUCAACGAUCUGAUCAACAGGGAAUUGUAAUGGCUAUACCAUUAAGCCGUCAGGAGUCAACUCCCAGCUCACAAGAUGUGUCUACUGUACGCAUAAGAAUGCCCAUUGGAGAUCCUGCAUUCAUGCACAGACAUGAGGAGAAUCCAAUACUAAGUCUAAGCGAGCUAGAAGAGUUAGCCAGAAACGAGGAAACUCAAAGAAAAAGAAGGGCUGAGGAGUACGCCAACCCACCUCCACUAAAGAGGUCAAGGAAACAGAGAUAAGUUGAAACUUAAAUUUCCUAUUGAUGUAAUGCUGAAUUGUAAUAUCUUCUGAUCAUCAAUAAAUUCAUGCUUAUUCUCUAGAAAUUUCAGCUGCUCACUGAAAUACUAAGUCAUGUUUAAAUUCCUUGCAAAUGCAUCUAGUCACUAAUAAUCAUGACAAUAAAUCUCCUUGGUUAUGUCAACAUCAAAUAGGGGGAGAUUGUUGGGAGAAUGCAUAUUAUGAUUUAAUGUUUUAAUGUAUAUGUUCAUGAUUAUUUGUAAGGUCCUUAAAUGAAUAUAUGUACAAGGACUUAGUGAUAGAUCAAAGUUGUUAGGUUGAUCGAAGCUUUCAACGUGUACCAUUUUGAUAAAGAAUGUAUAGAUAGAAAGAUCAAAACUGUUAGGUUGAUCUUAAGAUGUAAUAGAUUAGUCUUAAAGAAAUUGUAGUACAUCCAUCUGAUCAACAUUGCAGGAGUCAAGGCAGAAAAUGUAGAGCCUGAAGAUCAUAGUGUGCCUGCCUUGAAGGGGACUCUUCAGAAAUCGUAGAGUGGUCCCAACGUUUGCCGAGCCAACUCCACGAUCGCAGUAUGCUGAAGGAAACAUGAAGUUUUACAAGUCAACGAUCGUAGUGUGCUCUCGGGAACGUAGAGUCAACAACACGAGCAAGAGAAGAUCGUAGUGUGCGAAGGUUUAAGGGAAAUCGUAGUGCUCUCGAACUGAUAACUUCGUAGUAUGCAAAGAUGUCAAAGACACUAUGAUCUAAAUCAUAGAACACCACGAUCCAAAUCGUAGAGCAUCAUCUGUCUCAUGUCAGAAAACGUCGAGCCUCAUGAUCUGUGUUUUCAAUAAGUGAGGAAUGGAUCCCAGAUGCUGCAGUGCUCAUCAGUCCCAGAAUAUAUGAAAUAUCCUUAGUAUGCAACAAAGAAGCGUAUUGAAGAAGCUAAGGAUAGUACCAUGGGUAAGAGGGACAAAACACCUUUUCAGGUGGUAGGUGAGAAAGCAGCCUGCAGUGUCAGUGGGCCAGAAUGCAGAAUUCAGAAGAUGUGCAGAAAUGUCUCCAUCACAGUACAGAAAGUUCAGAUGCAUUUAAUGCCACAACGGAUGGAUCCAACGGAUAGUUUUCAACAUCACAUAUAUAUACAGAUCAGACAGAUGAGAGAGAAAAUAAGCAAGCAUUAAACAAACAACGUGAACAUCUCUCUCAAGUUCAACUCUACGAUCUGAGAUAUUGCAAAGCUUGUUCAGCUACUCAGUUCUUUAGAACAAGUUCUUACACAACGACUGAAUAGCAACCAUCAAGAACUCAACAACUAUCAAUCAACUGAAGAAGAGUACCAAGUCUGCUGGACUUGAAGAGUUCGUAGUGAACUGUAAGAAAGCCAAGUCUGCUGGACUUGAAGAGUUCAAGAGUGAACUAGAGAAGUUCCUAGACUGCUGGUCUAGAAGGAAUCUGUGUGAUUUAGAAGAUUGUAAAAGACAUCCUUAGUGGAUAUCCUACUCGUUGAGUAGAAGAGUGGACUAGGAGCUUUGAGUGCUCUGAACCACUUAAAAAUAACUAUGUCGUUUACAUUCAUGUUAUAUCUGCUAUAACUGCCUUACUCGCUCAUAACUCCAUUGCUUGGUAAAGAAGAUUAAAACAAAUACUAAUUCCGCUAAGUUUUAAUCAUUAUCUAAGAACAAGUUUAAAAAGGAAAGAUUUUCAAAUAUCUAUUCAACCCCCCCCCCCCCUUCUAGAUAACUUGUGCCUACUAGGAACAAACAACUUACAAUAUUUUGCGCGAUCAUCUCACCAAAGGCGCGACUCACGCGCAGGGGGCAAAUGCUUACUCGUAGAUUGGUAGAUGACAUAGACGUCCUUCAGUAAAGGUGUAUUCCCCCAAGCUGUGAUGAAUAAAGAAUGUCAUGUUGGAUACGAAUGACAUAUAGAGGAGCACCAUGGUCCUGGGUGGAUACGAAUGUCCCUGCAUAGCUUGAUGUACUAAAGAAUGUCAUCUCUUUCUUCAGUAUACCCACAUAGUCAACAUUCCCAAGUACCUCGUCGAUCCAAUGAUGCCAUUCCUGAAGGAGACUAGAUGAAUCAGACAAGAAGUGAAGGGAACUGAAAGGGUACUCUUGUUUCUCUAUGCAUAGACGGGGAAUGCGAUCGGAAUGGGGAAGGUCAUCCCAACCUCCACAAGUCACUGCAUAUAGGAACAAGCAUUCCCUAUCUGGCAGAAGAAGAAUUGUACGAUCAUAAGUCUGGACUUGCUCCCAAACGACGUCGAAAAGACCAAAGGAGGGGAGCCCUUCCCCAAUCAUUGAGAAACGGGGCCUCUUUAGUUGUUCCCAAGUCUGAAGAAUGUUGGCCUGCAAGAAAAAAGAAUUCAGCAUAAGUGAUCUAAAGAGCAAGGAAAGGAGGCAUUUGAACUUGAAGUGCUCACUGUGGCAAAAAGGAAAUUCAGCAAAAGGGCGCGGCCAUGUUGGCUUCGGCCACCUAAGGGUUGUUCCUUUCAUUUCUUGAAAAAAAGGUCAUGUUAGCUUCGGCCCCUUAGGGCUCGGCCAUGUUGGCUUCGGUCACCUCGGGGUUGUUCUUUUCAUUUCUUAAAAAAAGAAAAAAAAGGCCAUGUUGGCUUUAGCCACCUAGGGCGCGACCAUGUUGACUUCGGCCCCCUAGGACGCGACCAUGUUGGCUUCAGCCCCAUAGGGCGCGGCCAUGUUAGGUUCAGCCACCUAGGGGUUGUUCCUUUCAUUUCCUUAAAAAAAAAAAAAAAAGCUAUGUUGGCUUCGGCCCCUUAGGGUUCGACCAUGUUGGCUUCGGCUACCUAGGGGUUGUUCUUUUCAUUUUUUUUUUUAAAAAAAAGAUGCCAUGUUGGCUCCGGCCCCCUAGGGCGCGACCAUGUUGGCUUCAGCCCCCUAGGACGAGGCCAUGUUGGGCGCGACCAUGUUGGCUUUGGCUACCUAGGGGUUGUUCCCCUUCAUACCUCCUAGGUCCUGUUACUCCACAAAUCAACUGCCUGGAACAAAUCCUCUUUCGCCGCAAAAAAUUAUAACCUUCCUCUGAUGAAUUCCGAGGGAAAAAACGAAGAUAUGAUCAAGGUAAUGGGGCUCGGAAAACAGAAGAAAGGCUACAAUUACCUGAAUAUAUAUAUAUAUAUAUAUAUAUAUAUGAAACAAUUAUGAGGAGUUCAAAAAAUCAAAGGUCUUCCAAUUCAAGGAGCAGUAUAAUUUUUGUAACCUCACGCAAAUAUUCUUGAUCCUUGAUCCACGUCGUGCGUGAGAAAGGUUCGGGAGUGGAGGCUUAUAAUUAAUGUGGCAAUUUAUAUAAGUUGCAUAUAUAUCACAAGAAGUUUACAAGCCCAACUAUUGGAUAAUUGCAUGCAAGCAGCACUUGGCCUAAUCAUGUAUACAUAUGAAGGAGUUAAACUUUGUUGGCUAGUAGGGGAGUAGCAUGUACAACUUCAAUAGGGGUCCCUUCUUAUUGCAAAUAACAUCCAAGUAAUGCGACGCACAGAACUGCCCACUGUAAUUUGGAUGCAAGAUAUUCGGCCGCGGAUUAUGAAUAUCGACUUCUUACUUCUCCAAAAUAAGAUAAGUAAAGAUUAUAUUUAUUUAUUUUGAAAAAUAAUAAUAAUAAUAAUAAUAAAAUAAAAUAAGAUUUUAUUUUAUUUCCUAGAAAAAAAUAAGAUUUGAUUUUUAUUUCCAAAAUAAAAGAAGAUUUAAUUUCCAAAACAAAAUUAAGAUUUGAUUUUAUAAAAUUAAGAUUUGAUUUUAUUUCCAAAAUAAAAUUAGUAUUUGAUUUGAUAAAAAGGAAAGUUUUGGUGUACCAAAAUAAAGAUUUUUUAUUUGGUGAUAUUUGAUUAUCUUUCCUGUUUUAAUUUUCAAAAAAAAAUAAGGAAACAAAUCUUGGGCGAGUUAUGGAAAUAUUAUUGGAGGAUUUCCCAAUAUGUCCAAGGAAGAGUCCUGCUAGGUUUUGCCUCUCUAUGAUUUAACCCUAAGGGUUUGGCUCCCUAGGGGUUCCCUCUACUAGGACCAUCGUUUUUCAAGACCUGUAAAGUGAAGUCCCGUAAAAUCGUCCAAAGGCUUGAAGUAUUCUUGCACGAUCGUCUAUUUGGGAAUGCGACUCUCGCGCAGGGGGCAAAUGUGGGCCCAAGUGUAAAAUUAGGGUUCAAAUGACCUAAUUGAAUUAAAUGCACAAUUAGGGUUCCACGACCUCAUUAAAUGUGCAAAUUAAGAUUCACAUAACCUAAUCAAAUGAAGACCCGAGAGAAGCCUCCACGUGUCCUGAGGCAAAAGACUCGUGGAGGCGACUCGUUUUGGGAAUUGAUUGAGGGAUUGGAUUUGUGGCUAGAAUGACAGGGCAAUAUGGGCAUUAUUCUAGUGACUAAAGGGUAUUUCUGUAAUUUUCCUGAAAACAUGUGCCUAACAUGUGACUACUUAAUUCCAGGAAACUCUAUAAAUACCCCUUCCAAUCUAGGAAGGGGAAGGACUCUUUUUGGUGACUUAAGGCUUGGAUAUUCCACCUAAAAACACUAAAAGGGUUUGGGACCUCUCUUCAGACGCAGGACUUGGACUCUUAGAAGAUCAAAGGACCUGAACAUUCUCUCUCAACACUCAGGAAGACUCUUUGAAUCCCAAUAACCCUAAUAAGGUUUCCGGAUUCUAAGAGUGGAAGGACUUAAGGAGAAGGCUUUUGGAAUCCCAAUAACCCUAAUAAGGUUUUCGGAUUCUAGGAGUUUUGUUUUUUUUUAAAACAACUAAAAAAAAGUUAAAUAUUUUAUGGAACUGGAAUUUUUUCCGUAAUACAGUGUUUUGGGAGUUUUGUUUCUGUAUAGACUGUUUUGUUAUAUGUAUCCAAAUCACGCCCAAAACACUGUAUUACGGAAAAAUUCCAGUUCCAUAAAAUAUUAAACUUUUUUUUUAGUUGUUUUAAAAAAAAGGAAAAAAAAGUCCGCAUUUUAAGAAAAUGCGGGAGUCCGGAUAGGAACCGGACCAUAUAUAUAUAUAUAUAUAUAUAUAUAUAUAUAUAUAUAUAUAUAUAUAUAUAUAAGGGAAUUANNNNNNNNNNNNNNNNNNNNNNNNNNNNNNNNNNNNNNNNNNNNNNNNNNNNNNNNNNNNNNNNNNNNNNNNNNNNNNNNNNNNNNNNNNNNNNNNNNNNUGCACUUCACAUGUUUGAUUAAAUUACUCUUAGAGGCUGUGAAGUUUUAAAAGUGAGAACUUGAUGUUAUUAUAAGCAAGAAAGCUUAUGUUUAUAAAAUAUAUGUGUCUCAAGUGGCUUAACUAAAUUAGAAAUGGUUUAGAAGUAAGUUUAAGUGAAUUGAGUAAUUUUGGUUUGGUUAGAAAACUUAUGUGGCUGAGCAGUUUUGAGCCAAUAUAGAACCUGUGUGAAAUAUUUAUUUGGAGUAAUUUAUAUUUUUUUAAAAUAGUAUGUCAUACCUUCUAUAACAUGUUAAAAGUUGGUUCCAAUUGGAUGUGUAUAUGUUAAGUAAGAAAAUUGUAAAGUGGCUACGAAAAAUGCGAAAUUUGGGAAUUCUACACUUUAUUUUUGGGAUCCACGGAACAAAGUAUUUUAAAAAUGAAUAGGAGCUUUUCAUUAGACUGGUAAGAACCUGAAUGAGGUAAUUGUCAACAAGGUAACUUUGUCAUCAAAUCCGCUAGUAAGUUCUGGCAAUCGUAUUUUCUUACAUGUCAUGUUUAGGGUAUGGGGUGGUUCUGAAAAUUCGCCUGUAGCUAUCUUCUUGAAAACGAUAUGAUCAGCUUUUUCUGAGAAAGCAACUCCAUCCCAACUUAUUCGUUUAGAAGGAUCUUUACAUGGUCCCACAACUAUUUCGGUUCCAUUUAUGGUAGUUGUUUGUCCACAAAAUCCAGUUUCUGCCCAAUUAUAUUUUCCUCCUAAACCACAACAAGCUAGAAGAGGAAAUUUGAAUCCUGCAUAUUUAUAAAUUUCAUUAAAAAAUUAUCAUACAAAUGUAUAUAUAGAACGAGUAUUAUUGACAUUAAUGAACUUCUACAACUUUCUAACAUGUUGAUGAUUAUUAUAUUAAGGCAUAACAAUUAUUAUUUUACUUGAAUGUGUUUGAGUGAAAUAAAUUAUUCUAUUGAGAAUUUCUUUAAUAUAUGAUUAAGAUAUAUUCUUGUGGUAUUAAUUACUCGACUUGGAUUAGAGUAAGAUGGAGCACGACAUACCAUAUUUUUUGGGUUCCUUGUAGAGAUCAUACUUUGGAGUAAAAACAUCUACAUAUGUGAACGCAGCCAGGGGGAGGUCUUUUCGAAGUUGAUCAACAACCUCUUUCAACUUGGAAUUGAAAUAUUGAGCUAAAUCAUUAUGAGGUAUUGCGCAACCUGAACUAUCUAUUUGGUCUUCUGGAACUGGUAACAAUGUCAAAAUAUAAGGAAGGCAACCAAGGGGUCCAGUGUUUUGGAUCCAAAACGAUCUACCUCCCAAAUCGUAUAGUUUCUGCAAGAAUCAAUAUUCAGUAAAGGGAAUUAGUAUUCGUGUUAAGAGAAUUUAUAAGUUAAUUACAUGCUACCUGAAAAGAUAUAUAAAUUAAGCAAGGCUUAUAUACCUUCACAUUCAAUGAGAGGCUGUUAACAGUAGGUGGUAUAAUUAUUUUAAUUUCGUCAUAGGUCAUGUUAGUCAACAAUCCUUGGACGAGGUCAUUUUGGCCAAUAUCAAUAGUAUACAAUGCUUUGGAAAAAUAUUCCUUCUUGGGCAGCAAAUUCUUGAACACCCCUCCUAAAAUAACAACCAAAAUUUUUUACAUCUAUAAAAGUACAAGAUAAAAAGUUAUAUGAGCAGGAAAUUAAUUCAUAUUUAAUUAAAAAAAAAUAUACCUUUUUCCCUGAUCGUCUGUGAUCUAUUCACGAAUUGUGUGAAUUGUGAAAUUUGAAUGUCAAGAUAAAUAGGACUAAAUGCACGCGGUUGUUGGGCCACCGGAAGAAUUAACUUGGGCGGUGCAAUUGUAGCCAAUAGUUGGGCAAAAUUAACACCAUAAGAGAAGUUGGCACCCAAGGAAUCAAGAUAAGGGUGGAGGAAUGGUUUACCUAAACUUGAAGCUACAACAUUAAAAUUUAGUCAUUAGGUUUGUAAGUAAUGUAGUAACUAGAAAGCGAUUGAAUUUUGUAGGAUUUGAAUUCCAUAACUGUUAAAAUUGGACAGUUUGUUACUUUGUUUGGACAGUUCUAUAAUAACAAAUAGCAUUUAUAUAUAUAGAUGAGAGUAGCAAAUAUAUAAUACUUGUUUAACAAAUAUCAUCUAUAAUGCAAGUAUGUGCUAUGUCAAUGCAACCGAUUCUAUACAUAGACGGUCUAAAUGGACUGCUCAAUUCAAAUUGUCUAGAAUUAGGAUCGGAAAAUAUUAACCUAUAAAGUCGAUUAUGAUACGCCCAUUAGAGGCUCUUCCUGCUGGCAUUUUAAAGUAGGUUUGUCCAUAAAAUGGAGGUGUCCCUGCAGUGAAGGCAGCAGUAAACCCACCGGUGUCCGAAUUCCCGUCACCAAAGGUGAAGAUAGCUGGAAAAUCACAAGUGUGCAAUGCCAAAACAGGAGAGAGAAAAAGAAUGCAAACCAAGGAGAGAGAGAAUGCAGUUCUGCUCGUGCUUAGGGACUUCAUGU